UACAAUCUGGAUGCAAGCAUAUGCAAAUUUCUUAACUCUGUAAUCCACUAAGGCCUUGUUAAGUACAUAAUCCUUGCUAGCGAAAAUGCUCAACAUAUCCCCUAUAUAUGUAAGAGAGAGAAAGGUUAGAAAGUACUAACACUAAGAGAUAUGUGCUAUCAAUUAGAAACACUUUAAGAUGACAUUAUCAAUUAGAAAACCAAGUAUUAAGCAGCAUAAGGGAAAAUAACAAACAAGGGCACCACAGUGGUUCAGAAACCAAUCAAUAUUUCCAUUUGUCACUUUUAUAAUAAUUUCCCAAGGGAAAAUCCUCAUAAUAAGCUUGAGUACCACCUAAUAACGUGUUCAAAUGUUACCAUAAGCAAAAAUGAGUGAUCCUAAAAUUCAUAUGACAAGGAAAGUCGUCAACUAGCAAACCGCCAAAUAACAGUUAUAUGGCUAGAAUUAGUUUUCUCCAACUUCAAGAAAAUAAAACAUAUUAAAACAAAAGGAAUUAUGGUGCAAAAUAAUGAAUAUGCUGCAAAGGUAAGAAGUUUCUGAAGGUAAAAAUGGUCAAUAAAAAACAACAUAUAAUUUGACGUAAAUCAAAGUAGAAUUAUUUCUCGCAAUGAAUUCUCUGCCAAUAAUGGCUAAGAGAAGGGGUAUUUAUUGAGAAUUAGUUAACCAGGCAGAAAUCAUCUAGGGCAUAGUAUUGUUUUAGGUCUGCGACAUUAAAAACAUAAUGAAUGUGUAAGUCUGGUGGUAGUUCUAUUUUGUAAGCAUUAUCUCCGAUCCUCUUUAGGACACGGAAUGGUCCUAAUUGUCUGUCUUUUAGUUUGUUGUAUGUUUCGAUUGGAAAUCGAUUUUUUCUUAGGUGAAUCAUUACUAAAUCUCCCUUGGUAAAGGUAGUUUGUCUUCUUUUUCUGUCUGUUGCGUCUUUGUAGGACUGAGUUGUUUCUUUUAGGUGAUUGUGGACUUCUUCGUGUAAAUUCUGGAUUUUUUCUAUCAUCUUUUCUGCCUCUGAUAGUUAGGGAACUCAACACAUUUUACUUGACCUAACCAAGAUGGCUCUUUGUAUGUAUAUUGCAUGUGUUGUUUGUUUUUUUCUAUAGCUCUUGAUUGUCUCACUUUUUUACGUUUUGCAUUUGCAAUUCUCUUUUCUUUCUUUGGUAUGCAAUGUGGUAACAAGGUCUUGCUAGAACCGGUGGGCUAACCUUUCUAUGGUUCUAAACUUAGUUUCUAAGUUUGACUGCUCCCUUCGGAGUGACAACAAGCCUCGUUUUCCCCUACUAUGGAACGGGGAGGAUUCAUUUUCUUUUCAAAGCCCUCGUCAAACUCAAUGCUAAGUUUGACUGCUCCCUUCGGAGUGACAACAAGCCUUGUUUUCCCCUAAUGUGGAUCGGGGAUGAUUCCUUCUCUUUUCAAAGCCCUCAUCAAACUCGAUGCUGUGCUUAGAACGCUAAGAGUAGGUGGUCUGGUUUUGGUUAGGCCAAAAGUGAAGUUUUCCCCCAUUUUUUAUGGGCUUUUUCUAAUGUAUAUUGGAUAUGUUGUUUGAUUUUUUUUAUAGCUCUUGAUUGUCUUACUGUUUUAUGUUUUGCAUUGUCAAGUCUCUGUUUUCUUUCUUUGGUAUGCAAUGUGGUAACUAGGCCUUGCUAGAACCGGUAGGCUAACCUUUCUAUGGUUCUACAUUUAGUUCCUAAUUAAGUUUGAUUGCUCCCUUCGGAGUGACAAUAAGUUUUGUUAAUGUCGACCCUUUUCUAAAGGGAUUUAGUUCACUGUGGCUAGGCAAGAGGUUUCUAACUCAUGUUUGACAAGACAAAUUUGUUAAAACCAUCUUAGUUUCUAAAGAGUGCCUCCUAUCCCUUUUUUACUCUAUCUAGGCUAGGUUUGGACUAAGUGCAUCAUAGGUAAGUCACGACAAAGCAACAAAGGAAGACAAAGCUAGAAAAGUAUUCAUGCACUUAUUUAUUAUACAUGCAAUCAAGCAUUCACAACAUACAUACCAUUUUCUCAAUCAUGCAUUCACACCUCAAUAAGAAAUAGCUAAAAGGAGCUUACAACAAAAAAGACAGCCGCUUAUUCUCAAAUUUCAGCACAUAUACUCAUCAAAAUUUAGAAUUUCACAUUGCAAACCCGAGCUCAGUGCUCAAGGGUUGCCAAUCAUGCUUUUUAUGCAAGAUCUAAUUAAGCUAAGAAGGUAUAAUGCUCAUUUUGUAUGGAAAGAAUUCUGAAAUUUUUUUUAAAUUUGGGCAAAAUUUGAACCCCGAAGUUUAGACUAAACAUGCAAGCUAAGCAAGCUAUUACCCACACCCACUCAAAAAAUUGCUUUGUCUGUCCUAAAAGCUUUUGAAAAUCAAAGUAAAUGGAGAAAAAUAAGGGGGGAACUUUGGACUCCCCUAGAAGGAUCGACAUCCUUGACUUUGGUUUGAAGCUUGCAUGGAUAAACCUUUUCAUUCCUUUUUAAUUGAUUAUUCAUCCUUGUUCCUGAAAAUCAAAGGAAAUUCUCUCAAUUUUAUAUAUUACUAAAAUUAGGAUACAUAUAAGUCUUAACUAGUCUAAUAGCACCCUCCAUUCAUCUUCCCCUACACUGGCUAUGGUAUCAAAAUUUUCAAUUAAGUAAUACGUCUACUAACGAACUUGAAAACAAAACACAUCACACUAAAAAACACAAACAUCACUUUAACCCAACAGAAGCUGCUCUUUUUACCCUUGCACUCACUAUCACAUUACUAUCAUGUUUGUCAACUGUCAAACUAACUCUUUUAAGUUAUUUAGUGUGACUACAAAGUUAUGAACACCAUAAUCUUAAUUAAAACCUUUUAAUAAACAAAUGCCAAGUUACUACUCAACAAUGGCAAGGAAUUCAAAAAACAUGACUGUAACGACCCAACUUUUCUAGGUAAGUCGAAGUCAUUAAUUUCAAAUAAGGACCUGAGUUUACACAAAAUCUCAAUCUCAAACAAUUUCAAAGUCUCAAGAAAAACAAAAAUUUAUAUCUGGGCCCUGUUUAAAAUAACCAGCACCUUCAAGACAAAUUUACUAAUUCGUGAAUACAAUUCAACUAUAAAAUUUUCUAAACAAUCUCAAGUACUAAACAAAACACGUGAAACAAAACAUUUAGCGGAAGCAAUUUAAAAUAACCCCUAUGGCAAUCACGCUUCCUUUCUGCCCCUCGCCGGUUUGCCGUCUUUAUUAUCUUUGCCUGAAAAUUAAAUAUAAGGAGGGUGAGUAUAAAAAUACCCAGUACGAGACCCUCUACUGGUCCCGUCAGGGUAAAAUAAAUUGUUAACAUUCUAUUGGGACACCCUGUACAGUCACAGUCUUGUGAUCCCGUAGGAUGCACAUUUCAGUCUAACGCCCCGAGGGACGUACAUUUCAGUCUAGUGUUCUGCAGAAACACAUAUCAGUCUAAUGCUCUUGAAGGUGCAGAAUAAUUGGUGAUCCGUGUGACACCUACAAGGCACACAUCCCAAUAAAAGCUAACAAUUUUUCCCCUCAGUCCAUUCUAAACAUCUUAACAGUCAUUCACAGAUCAGUUAAACAUUCUCAUCACGUAAACUCUUUAUUUAACCUCAAACAGUCGUCUUACUCUAAUUUAGUCCAAGGUCAAUAAAAAAACAUAUCAUUACAUCAGUUAACAAGCUAAACAAUCAUAACCUCCUCCUCAGUCACCAAGGGCACCACCAUGACGUUUCUUCCGUUCACAAGCACACAACAUAACAGUAGAUUAUACACUCAGUCUAGACAACAAUCAAUCUACUAAUCAAAUCCACACUUUAUAUAAGCAACAUCUACGAGAUUCAGUCGUUUCCACAUCCUUAUCUUUGUACACAUACAUAACCAGACAGUCAUAACAUAUACUCAACCACAGUCUACAUCAAUCCAUGCACAUAUAUGUAUUAAUUUCUCCCAGUCAAACAUAGCAAACAUUAAACUUUAAGUCAAUGCCCAAACAUACAUCAUAACAGUCAUCUCUACUCAGUUCAAAUCAAUACAUCUUAAUUAGUCAUUAUAUCUUAAUUUUAUUGUUGAGUCUAGUAGAAAAUCCCUUACUUUCAAGUUAGUUAAGCUCCUUAACCACGUUGAAGUCUACGAAGAACGAACCUAAACAUUAAGACAAUUUCUCAAUAAUUCUCAUCAAUCAUUUAAAUUCAACCCAAUGUGAUUUUUUUUUUACAACUUACCCAAAUCUUCACAAAACGAGUUCCAACUAGAAUCAAUUGUUUGGUGCGAACCCAAUGAAUUCGAGUGUUACCUUCAACCUAUAAUCGAUAUAAUCGAACAGUAAACGAUUUAUCCAACCAAUUAUUCCAGCAAUAUUACUUGAGUUUAUUUUGGAAACAGUUACAAAUUUCAUAACUUCAAUCUUACCAAUCAAAAUUUAAUGACUCGUGGCAAAGCAGGAACGACAGCGAACAACCCAAUCGAAUGGCGUGGGUUUGCUACCUGCGGCAGGACGAAGAAGGAACUCGACGCGCAGAAAGUUGGAUCUGGGGUCUUUAGUUCGGUUCACGGUAGCGAAUUAAAACCUGAUUGCGCGGACGUCAAAGGUGUUAUUCGCGGAAGAAGUCGAGCAGCAGCUUUGCGAAGAGACGACGUGCGACGGAGAGACUGUAUACAGACGGACGGAGAGUCGCGCGGCAGUGCAGAAAACGGAGGAGAAAGGAAUGGGCGGCGGCUGGGCUUGGCUUCGACGGAGACAGAGGCGAUUAGGACGGGGCACGGCGACGCAGAUCUGGACGACGGCGCGGAGACAGAGGUUGCGCGGCGCUGGGCAGAGGGUCAAACGGCGCUGGGCGAAGGGUCACACGGCGCUGGGCGGAAGGUCACACGGCGGCCUUGCUUCGCGAACAGAGAUGGCGGCCGACGGUUGCAGCGGCGGCUGGGUAUGGUAGAAAAGAAAGAGAAACGGAAGAAGAAUAGGGGCGGCGACCGUGGAUCGGAGAAGAAAAGAAGGAUGAAAGCGAUGGUGGCCGGUUGGAGGGUGCGGCUGGAGGUAGGGAUCGGUGAAGGAGAAAAUAGAAAAAGAAAAUGAAGGGGAAAUGGGGGUUGCGCGCGGGAGGAAGAAGAAAGGAAAAAAAAUUCUUUUUUUUUUUUCUUUUCUUUUAUUUAAAUUAAAUAAUAAAACUAAAAUAUGUGUAUUGAUCAAAUGACCCAUAUCAAUAAGGACACAAAAUUGGCAAAGAACAAAUAAAUUAAAAUGGACAAUAACUCUUGUUUCAUUACUUUCUCUCUCAUUGGAGUUCUUUUGUUCACCAUCAUUUCAAAUGUGGCAUCAUCUAACGACGUUGUUUCUACCAUCUGUUCAGAAAUCUCAAAUCCACAAUUUUGUUUAAGUGUGUUGAAAUCUGCAGGCACUACAGAUCUAAAAGGCUUGGCUGUAUACACCUUAAACCUUGCUCAUUCAAAUGCUGGCAAAUCUUUGAUCCUAGCCAACUCACUAGCAAAAGCCACCACCAAUCCUCAACUUAAGCAACGAUAUUCAUUUUGUGCUGAGAGCUAUGAUGAAGUUGUUGGUGACAUUGAAAAUGCUCAAAAACGACUUGGCACUUGGGGACUUUAUUGGUGUCAUUAUUGCAACUACUGGUGCCAUGACAACUCUUGGUGAUCACUGUCAGAAUAAGCUCUUGCAGCCGCCGAAGGAUACAUCGUUGCUUUUAAAGAAUAGCAACACUCUAGAUGAUAUAAUUUAGCAUUAUUAUGGUUAUAUCCGAUCAUCUUUGAGGGUUAUGUACUUGAACAUUUUGAUCAAUAAAUAAACUGAAGUUUAAUUUUUAAAAUAAUAUUACAAUGUGAUGGUGAUUGGAAUUGAUUACUUACUUUGAUUAAACUUGAGAAGAUAAGAAAAUCAAUUAAUAGAAACGUUCACCGACACACAUUGUCAGCACGUCGGAGAAAGCCUAAACUUUUUUUUCUUUUCUUUUACGUUCUGUUUUCUUUUCUUUGUUUGCCAUCAUCAUCAUCAUCUUCUUCUAGCUUCUUACGUUCUGUUUCAAUUGCAUACUUCUGUUAUUCUUGUAAUUUCUUCGUGGUUUUCUUUUUAACUUUGUGUUUCAGUGUGGAUUCAUAAACACAUUUUUCAGUGCUCUGGAUUCUGGAUCUGUUAUGAUUUUGAAAGGGUACAGUGAAGUGAAAAGUUGAAAUGGAAAAGAAAAAAAGAAGAAAAGAGGACACUUCUCGCGGUGGUGGCGGCAAAGACUGACGUCGACGACAACACAACUCUCCUCCUCUCCCUAUAUCUCGGCCGAUUUUGGGUUUAUUUUCGUUUUGCAUUCUGUUAUGUGUGGAAGGGAGAAUAAAUAGUGUGGACUUUCCCCGACGUCUUCGAAAACGUUGGGAAAUUUACCUUUCGCCGACGUAUGUAGUACACACGUCGGAGAAAGUUUAAAUAAUAAAUUCAUUAUUUAAACUUUCCCCGACGUACUCCUGUCAUACGAGUCUAAAUUAAAUUUAAUGCGUUCUCCUUCGGCGAUGUGUGUCAAGGUGACGUUGGAAAAAGUUUAAACACUAAUGCAAUUAUUUUAAAUCACAUAUGUUAUCGCUUAUAUGGCAUAGGAGUCUAUUAACGAUAGAAAUCUAUCUUGAUAGGUUUUUGCUACAUUUACAAUGUUUAAAAAAUAUUCUUAUAUACUUAACUAUUAUUCCUAAAAUUGCUAACCCAUUAUACUUACCCUUAGUUAAAUGUAUAAUGUCAAAAGUAAGUUUACUACGAAGGUAAUCUAUGUGACCCUUUUAUCCUAACGUAGGAAGUUUGUUCCACUCCAUACCAUUAUUGAACUAAAAGGAUUAAGUGUGUAUUAAUAUGUUUAAACAAGUAUAAUUAUAAGCAAAAUCUAUAAGUGAUAUAUUGAUAUUAGCAAUACAAUACGCGUCACAUAUGCAAACAUUUUGUGUCUAAUCGUUGUAUUUACAAUUAACUCCAUUAAAAUAUUACAAAUAGAAAUAGAACUCUUUAACCUAUGUUCAGUUAGGAUCACAAACUACAAAAUGAAAGCAUGGAACAAAUUUAAUUUUUUUUUUCUUUAAAGGAAAUUUUGUGUGUAGCACAUUAUAUUUUUUUCUUUCCUUUAAAAAACAUUAUUGAUCUUAUGAUAUUUGACAUAUAUUAUAUUUUUUUAAGAAUGUAAAUAAUGUAAAUAAUGUGCCAAAUAAUUGAAAACAUGUUAUCCAAAACAGAGAAUGGUUAAGAAAUUGUUGACAUUUAGUCAAAUUAAUAAAUAAUUCAAAAUUGUGUUUGAUUUUUGAAUUUGAAAAGAUAGUAAAAUUAGAAGUGUUUUGAAAUAGUGUUUACGAGAAGAUUUUUAAUUUUAAAUAGCAUUAUAGUAGCUAUGGAUGGUUAUAUAAUAGUCUACACAAUCUUUGUCACAAAUGAUUAAUUCGAUUUUUUAAAUCAAGUCUAAUGUUUUUUUUUUUUUUUUGCCUAUUUCUUACCCAUAAUUUUUACAUUUUUUGUAAGUAUAAUGGUUGAAUGCAAAAAGAGAGCUGACUAGUAAGUGCAAAAAGAGAUCUCACAAGCUUCUGCAAAAGCUAAUCAAGCAACCCAAAUCAUAAACGAGGAGAAAAGUUGAUUGGUUAAGCUUUGUUGUAGUAAAGAAGAAGUCAAAGUGAACAUGGAACGUUCUUCACUCUCAAAGAACAUCGCCAACAUAUAGAUUAUAUACUUUUUCUGGUAUUGACCCAAAAAACACAAUCCAAGUGUAUUUUUGGUGAGAUGCAUAGUUUAACUAAACCGUGUUAUUACAAAAUUUUUAAUUACUAGGAACUCCUAAUGAAACGAAUACAUUAUUUUUAUAAUUACGAGGUAAAAUGGAAACAUACAAACUACUAAAAAAAGUUGCAAUUCGAUUAUUGGGAUUCAAUCUACUCUCCAUGAAUGUUUCUUGAAAUGAGAGUUUUUAAGCAGCUACAACUUGCUUAUGUAUAAAAGCAAAACCCUUUCUCAACGCCUACCUUCAGUUUUGGCUUUAGAGCUUCAAGUGAUUUUUGCCCCUACUCAGAUAAACCCUGAAGAUCAGAUGUUACAAAGGCUUCAAUUCCACAUGCAAAAAUCAUGUUCAUGAACCAAAAGCACCUUAAGCUUCUCUUCGAUAUCUUUGAGCUCACUGGAUAAAGAACUGAUUUCUAAAGCAAUCAUCUCUACCCAUAUCCUCAUCGUUCCCACUGUCUUUUAAUAAGGUUGGCAUGAUAAUCACAACAAAAGAAGAAGAAACUAAGAUCAAUUUAACAAAUUUUAUGUUGGGAAACUUUUUUAAGAACAACUACUUAUAAACCAACCUUAGCUUUGGCCUCACAUUCCUUGAAUUUUCUAAAAGUAGAUACCACCUGUCCGGGCAACCCACACCAACCAACCAAGAGUAAGUUAGUGUGAAAGACACUUAUUUAAUGAAGAAUAUGUAAAAGAGGUCAUUCCAACUGUUACACAUAAUAGUAUUGGAGGCAGAUAACCUUGCCAUACCUCAUCAAGUUCUGAUAUUGAUUGAGCUAGUUUUUGAUACUCUGUGGGGUUUGAGACAAUAUCUGGAUUGACCAGCUUAACCUAAAUAAUAAUAUCGAUAGUGAUUAUUGUGUAGGAAAAUAUUAAAGCUAUAACCAAAUCAAAAGCAUAAUUGGAAAUACAUCAAAGAUGUAAAUGCAAAUUUCAAAAGUGGGAUCUACAGAAUGUAAGGGGAAGAAACUCAAAUAAAAUUACUUUAUUAUUAGUUAUAACGACUACUAAUAGAGAUUCCAGAUACACCACAGUUCCACGUCCUCUUUCAGGAGGAAAGCAAUGGUUAAAAAUUAAUUGUGAAAACUAAAGAAGGUCCUGUUCAAAUCCUAACAGCAAUAGGAAAGCAAGGAGUUAUAAGGUGAUCACUAUAGGCCAAAUCCAAAAUGCAUUCAAUAUUUGUCUUCCAAUUUCAUUAUCAAGUGCAUAGGCAAGGUCCCUAGUGAGGAAGUUAUUCGUUCUUUUCUUCAUUUUCUAUAGCUCUAGAAGUAGCUAAAUGGAAUCGUCAAGCACCUAAUCUAUUAAUUUUAAAACUCAAAAGUUCACCGCGGGAUUCUAGUCACUGCUGAAACAACAUAGAGUUCACUAGUUCCACAGUUAAAUUAAUUGCAAAUUGCAUUUCCUGGCAUUUUCAAGAAAAAAAAAAUGCACAAAUCAUAAUAUGAUGAAGUAGAAAAAUUUUGUGAGCUCGACUUUUCCAGGACAUAUCUUAGCUACUUCUCCUAUUCCAGCUCGAUAACCAUUGUACUUUAACAAUUGAAACAUUAAUCCAAUAGUUAACAAUGUUCUGCACUUUAUGCCCUUUACAUUUCCAACAACUUGAUGCAUACAUCAGUAGUUAACACAGGCACGAGCUCUUAAAUUCAAUGCAAAAUAAACAGUCCCAUUCCAAGCAUAGACACCAAAUACAAACAAUUGAUGGACUUGAAUCAGUGAAGAAAUAAGAAUGUCAUUUAACAGCAAAGCACAAAUUACCGAUAAUUUUUUCCACGUCUUCUCAGCAGAUUCCAAUUUCACGAUCAAAUAAGGUUCCUAAAAUAAAGCAAUCACCAUCAUCAUUUUCCACAAAUAUGAUUCGAACUAGUUUUACCACAAAUUAAUUUCUAGUAACUUGAAGAAAAACUCAGUGAACUCAAAGCAUAACGAAACUCAAGUUCUGUUAAAGCCAAUCCGAACAAUAAGAUAUAGACAUAUUGUGUUCUCGAAAGAAAAACAUUCAAUAAAUCUAACAGCCAUGCAAAUUAGAGUUGAAGCUCUAAAGGGAGGUGCAAAGCAUUUUAAGUUCCAGAGAGCAUCUUCUGAAGGCGAUGAGCCCAUAAGAUGAAAAAAAGGCCUCAAGUGAGGAAGAAAGACGCCAUCCAAACAUGAAAAAAGGAAGAAAGGCAAGAUUUUGGUAGCUCCAGACCUGAGGGAAGCCAACAAGGUGGCGAGGGAGGCAAGGCCCCAAAGUUUUAGCAUUGCCAGCAAAGUGAAGGUAGAGAGGACCACAGCGACACUUUCCUUUCUGACGUGGCGCCUCCGAGAGUUUAUGGACGCCCCAAUUGGGGCGUUUGGAUGGAGUAAGUUCUUCAAGGGACUUCCAAGAUUCGAUGGAGGUUGUCAAGAAAUUCUACGCAUUCAGAUUACAACCACUACAAGGAAUUUCAGAUCAACCACACAACAAUUUAACACUAUUGGGAGAAUCCACGAAUUCUUGGUCAAGUAGAAGAACCUCCAUGUGGAAGAAACAAAUUGUGAACGUGUCGAAGACCUUGAAGUGUGGAAAUGGAAGAUCAAAGAGUUCCAGCUUCGCCAGUCGACAGGGACGUCAACUGUUUAAGUAGGGGAGAAUGUCAAGAGCAUGCUUGUCCAAGGCAUUGUUUGCCCAUGGCCGCAUGGCCGAACAUCCUCAAACCGCCUUAUAUUUAUGUCUUAUAACUUAGUUUAGCCAUUUUGUUUCCUUUUGUUGUCGCCGACCUAGGGUGUGACGUUUCAAAAUUUUCAUAUGCAAGUCUGUCAUAGCUAAAAAUGUUUAAAAUGUACUAUAGGGAAGACAUAGUAGUUGAAUCCCUGACCAAGCCUUGUUGCACUCUUUGCAUUCUAAUCUUUCUUUGCAAUUAACAGUCUUCAAUGCUUUCUUUAACAGAUGUGUUUUCAAUUCUUUUCUUCUCUUCUUGUCUUAUAAAAAUAAAUUUCUCUCAAAACAUGAAAGAGGCUAUACCGUACUGCGUGCUUUUUUUGCGACUUCUGGAUUUCAUACAGCUUACUUGUUCACCGAGCUAGAACAAACGUCGCAUAAUCACCAUCCCCUAUUUGAAAAUUUACGAUUAUGACAGCAUGCGGUGAGGUGCACGCGGCAUGUGUGGGCCCAAGCCAAGCAUGCAACUGGCAUUCUGAUACUCUAUGCACGUGCAUGCUGCCUGCGCCCAUGCCCGUGCAGCCAGCAUUGUCAUGACGUAGUUUUUGGGAUGUUUGGUGUUUUGGGAAAUUUUGAGCAAAUUCUGGAUGUUCGAGCAUGCGGAUGUUCUAUGCAAUGCAACCAGCAGCCCAUAUGUUCUAUGUUCUCUUUACGGUCGUAUGUGCACAUUUGGUUAACUCUACUACUACUAAUGGGAAAGUUGACGAGCCUAUGCUGAAUUCAUCAGGAAAGGUGUACUUUGUUGAGCCCAUUGAGGAGAAGGAUACCUUCUUUUUUUCGAAGAGGUGUUUCAAUGCCUAGGCCGUCUUUUGACAAUGAGGUGUUAAUAUUACCUAGACUUCAUGCUAAGAACGGGUUGUGAAUUUAUAAUCAAGAAUGCAGUUCGAGUAUCAUGUCUUUCAAAUGAUUUCCAACAGCUUGAAUGUUUCUAUAAGACAAGAAUUUAUGCUUAACUGUUUUAGAAAGCAUGUUUUAUAAAAAUUGUCACUCACUAAGUCUUUCGACUUAUCCUUUCAAAUCAUUUCUCACUUUUCAGGUAUGGAUUAUGCAUUCCCUAAUGUUAAGCGUAUUGCUUGCUGAGCCAACCAGUUACUAGAAAUUGUUAAGUCAUUUUGAAAGUUAGUUUUGACUUUGUAAGAAAAGUUCAGGAUGAGCAUGUCUAUGUUUAUUGUUAAAGUUCCAAUGUUAUAAGUUAGUUUAGUAAAAAGGUCACUGUCAUGUUUAAAGCUUCUGCUGAUGUAUCACAAUAGUUGUAACUAGUGGUUUAAGUUAUUAGUUAAAGCAUGUAGCUUGUGUAUCGCUGUUUGUUUUGAGCAUGCAUUCAUGUUGUAACUGGUAGUUAAGUUAGAAAGGUUAGUCGGUUGGUAAGUUUUGCCAAGGUAUGGCAAUCCUUGCCAACCCUCGCACCUUCUUUCAGAGCUAGAUGUUGUUCAGAAAAUAAGGAGCUUUGGGAGGGGGUGGUGACAACAACACCAUCCCACUAGAGUACGCAAAUGAUGCAUUAUUGUUUAAUUAAGUCAUAUAUAACUUCCACAAUUUGGAUAGGAAUUUAACUCAUUAGAAGGUGUCCUAUAGAAUUUCUCAGUGAAAAGUUCAGAGAAGCUACAAACAAAUGUCACUACCGAACAACAAUCAUAUACAUGGGUUAGGGCUUUGAGCAGCUGUGAACACAACUUAAUAAUAAAUAUGAAGUCGUCCUCUUUUCAUCAUUAGUCAGAAGAAUUCUUAAACUUUCUAAAAAUAAUUGUCAAAUAAUUGAUUAUAUAGUAUGCCAUUUAUUUGGAAUAUACAAUUUUUUCAUUACCAGGAAAGGAGACUUCUCACUAAGUAAAUGUAAAGAGACUAAUGCUAUAAUUUGAAUUGGAAAAUAUAAUUUCAUAAUUAAGCAUCGAAUAGGGACUAGUUAAGAAGUACACACUUUAGUUUGCCAGAGUCCAUGUUCUACACAUGUUAGCCACUCUGUCAUUGGUUUAGCAGUAAAACAAAGGAUGUGUUUAGGAAUGUGAGCCACACAAAAGGGAAAGAAAACAGAAGGCGCAGUGAGCCACACAAAAGGGAUCGAAACGAAUGUUCAGAAAUAUCGGAAGGAUCGAAGAAAUAUGGAAGGAAAGACGAGGAAAAAACAACAGACCGGAGCAAGUUCAAGAAGGUAGAGAUCCCGAUCUUCAAUGGAAUAGACCCCGAUUCAUGGUUAUUUUUCGCGCCGAUCGUUAUUUCAAAUGCAAGAUACACAAGUUGACUGACUCAGAGAAGUUAAUGGUAGCGGUAAUCAGUUAUUAGGACCAGCUUUGGAUUGGUAUAGAUCAAUUGAUGAAUUGGAACAAUUCAAGAGUUGGGAAGAUUUGAAGCAAAGGUUGUUGUCCGAUUUCAGAGACGAUUCGGGAUGGAACACUCGUAGGCAGAUUCUUAAGGAUUAAGCAGGAAACGACAGUAGGGGAAUAUAGAAACAGUUUCGAUAAAUAUUUAGCUCCGGUAGCCUUCCUCCAGACCAUAGUAUUAGAAGAAACCUUUAUGAAUGGGCUAAGCCCAUGGCAUAAAUCCGAAGUUGAAACGCUGGAGCCCAUAGGUUUGGCCAAAGAUGAUGUAACUAGCCCUGAAAUUGAAAAUAGAGAGAUGGUUCGUCGAGAAUGUGGGCUUAGUAGUGUUUCGGGAAUGAAUCAACAAUUCAAGCAUAAUAACGUAAAGCAAACCUCGACAGUAAACACCCAAUCAGAAACCCACGGAAGGGAGCUGGCCAAUGAGAAACGAUUACGUUAAAAAGAGUGACGGCAGAUGAAAAGAGGAGGGAAGGUCCGACCAAGCGUCUUUCCAACGCUGAAUUUCAAGCACGGAGGGAAAACGGUCUGUGUUUUCAGUGUGAGGAGAAGUAUCACGAGCUGGACAUAGGCGUAAGGUGAAGGAACAGAAGGAAUUACGGAUGUUAGUAGUAAAGGAAAUGGGAGAAGAACUGGAAAUCAUUGAGGAUGAACACUUUGAUGUGGAAAACGGAGGCCCAGACCAUUGAAAUUGAAAAAGUGGAGAAUAUGAAUAUAGAGCUGUCCAUUAACUCAAUUGUGGGGUUAUCCAACCCUGGAACCAUGAAACUGAAAGGGAAGAUAAAAGAGACCAAAGUGGUAAUAAUCAUCGACAGUGGAGCCACCCACAGUUUUAUUGCAAAAAAUUUUGUAACCACCCUUAGCCUACCAAUGACAGAAAAACGUCCAACUAUGGAGUGAUUUUGGGGAUCAGGGGUUGCGGUCAAAAGGAAAAGGAAUCCGCAGUAAUGUUGAAGUGACGGUAGGAGAGUGGAAAAUUACAAACAACUUUUUACCCUUGGAAUUAGGGGUGGUUGCACUCAUUGGGCAUGACUGAAUUUGAUAUGAAAAAUUUGGUGAUGACAUUCCGACAUGGAGGAAGGAAGAUAGAGAUAAAGGGGGACCCUAGUGUCACCAAAACCCAAGUGAGCCUAAAGUCUAUAAUUAAGACAUGGGGAGCUGAUAAUCACGGUUAUUUGGUAGAAUGUCGGGCCAUGGAGGGAAGGCUAGCUGAGGAAGGCUUAGAGGAUGAAGAAGUGCCAGCCACUGUUGACAACAUGAUCUCUCCUCUGUUGAGCAAAUUUAAUGAUGUUUUUGAUUGGUUGGAAGAGCUGCCUUCGAAGAGGAACAUUGAGCACCAUAUACCCCUUCAGAAGGGGGUGGAUCCAGUUAAUGUCAGACCUUAUCGUUACGCACAUCGGCAAAAGGAGGAAAUUGAAAGACUAGUUGAUGAAAUGUUGAAGACAGGCAUCAUAUGACCGGGUACCAGUCUGUAUUCCAGCCCAGUCCUUCUCGUGAAAAAGAAAGAUGAUAGCUGGCAAUUUUGUGUAGAUUAUCGGGAGUUGAACAAUGUCACUAUCCCAGAUAAGUUCCCAAUUCCGGUCAUAGAUGAGUUAUUCAAUGAGCUGAAUGGGGCCAACAUGUUUUCGAAGAUUUAUUUAAAGGCGGGUUAUCACCAAAUCAGGAUGCAUCUGAGAGGUGUAGAGAAGACGGCCUUUCGAACACAUGAGGGACACUAUGAGUUCUUGGUCAUGCCGUUUGAGCUAACCAAUGCCCCCUCUACGUUCCAAGCAUUAAUGAACCACAUCUUUAAGCCUUAUAUGAGAAGAUUCGUAUUAGUGUUUUUCGAUGACAUUUUGGUGUACAACAGGGGAGUAGAAGAACAUGGACAGCAUCUGGAAGUAGUCUUGGAGAUCCUUCGAGAGAAUGAAUUGUAUGUGAAUUUAGCCAAAUGUUGCUUUGCCAAAAGUAGAAUAGGUUAUUUGGGGCAUUUCAUAUCCGAAAAGGGAGCUAAAGUUGAUCCAGAAAAAAUAAGGGCAAUUAGGGAAUGGUCGAUUCCCACUAGUGUGCGAGAAGUUCGAGGUUUCUUAGGACUCAAUUGAUACUAUAGGAAGUUUGGGCAGAAUUAUGGCAGUAUCGAAAGCCCUUUGACACAGCUUUUGAAGACAGGAACUCAUUGUUGGACUGAAGAAGCAAGUGCUGCCUUUGAGAAGUUGAAGAUGGCAAUGAUGAUUCUACCGACGUUAGCUAUGCUGGACUUUAAUCUACCACUCGAGAUAGAAACAUAUGUAUCUUGUUUUGGUGUGGGGCCGUUUUAGUACAAGCCAAGAGACAAAUAUCCUUCUUUAGUAAAACCUUAUGCAUGUGGGAUAGAGCGCGACUGGUUUAUGAAAGAGAAUUGAUAAUAGUAAGUGUUUUGCGGUGCAAAGGUGGAGACCAUAUUUGUUAGGGAAGAAAUUUACAGUGAAAACUGAUCAGAAGUCGCUCAAAUUUCGGCUAGAACAAAGGGUGAUUCAACCCUAAUACCAAAAAUGGAUAGCCAAUCUUUUGGGAUAUUUCAUUUGAGGUAGUCUGCAAUCCUGGGAUUGGAGAAUAAGGCAGCCGAUGCUCUAUCUAGAACACCCCGUAUAGUGCACUUAAAUCAAAUAUCAGCCCCAACACUACUCGAUUUAGUGGUGAGUCAAGAAGAGGAAAAGAGGGAUCAAUACCUACAGGAAAUCCAGAAGAAAAUAGAAAGAACAAAAAGUGAAAGUUCCAAACUUUUCAGUACAGCAAGGGGUAUUGAAAUACAAAGGAAGGUUGGUGAUGUCAAAAACAUCCGUUCUACUACCCACUAUUCAUGCAUACCUAUUCAUGAUUUUGUCUUUGGAGGACAUUCAGGGUUCCUAAGAACGUACAAGAGGAUGACCGGAGAGAUUUACUAGGAAGGAAUGAAGAAAAACAUAAAGAAAUACUAUGAAGAAUGUCUUGUAUGCCAAAGGAAUAAAACACUUGCAUUAUUACCUGCUGGAUUGCUGCUGCCACUUGAGAUUCCUAACACAGUGUGGUCGGAUAUUUCCAUGGAUUUUAUAGAUGGACUUCCAAAAUCAGCUGGAAAAGAAGUGAUUUUUGUGGUUGUAGAUUGUCUGAGUAAGUAUGCACAUUUUUACAGCUAUAAAUCAUUCUUACAUGGCCAGCUUCGUAGCAGAAGUUUUUGUUAAAGAAGUGGUGAGAUUGCACGGGUAUCCGCAGUAAGUUGUAUCGGAUCAAGACAAAAUCUUUAUUAGUCAUUUCUGGAAGGAAAUGUUCAAGUUAGUGGGAACUAAAAUAAAUAGAAGGAAAUGUUCAGGUUAGUGGGAACUAUGCCCAUAUACACCAAGUUCGAAUAUAGAACUUGCUUCUUACUGAAAAAAUAAUGAUUAUUGGGACUUGCUAUAAAGGGUAUCCAAUACUCGAAGUAAAUGAAUGAUUACAAAAUGAUUGUUUCCUCAGUUUGAAGAAGAACAACAAAAAAGAAAAGAAGGAUAAAAAAAAAAAAAAACAAACUUUCUUUUUGAAAUUCUAAAAGAAUCCAAAAAGACUUCAAAAGGUGCAACCAAGAAAGGAGGUCAAAGAAGGGCUCUGAUAGACCCCCCUAUCAUACGUCAAUAUAGUCGAAAAAAAAAGAGAGAGAUCACAAGGGAACACACAUGCGAAGAAGAAAAGAUUUAAAGGACUGUUAGAAGAAAAGAUUUAAAAAGCUUGUUGGGCGUCGGUUAGAUUUGAGGAGAUUUAGGAGGGUCGUUAGGUGUUGAUUAGAAUAAAUAAGGAUAGGGAGGAAAGAGGAGGGUAUGCUGAGUUUAGAAGAAAAUUGACUCAUGCUCUUCCUUGAGCGAUAGGAUAGCAGAGAGGGAAUUAGAUUGUUUUUCGAAUUGAGUCCUCCUCAAUUUGAGUGUUCUGAUAUUUUGAUUUUCCUUGUAACUCAUUCUUUGAUUGAAGCAAUAAAAGUUCUAAUUGGAUUUCCAAAAGAGUUCUAUCAAAUUGGUAUCAGAGACAGUUUUUUCUGACCAAGAGGAAAAUGAUGGUCCAAACACGAAUGAAGGAGAGAAUGGAGGCGCACGACCAGGAGAUGCAUUUGAUGAGAAGCGAGAUAAGCAAAAUUUCGACAAUGAAAGAAAUAUUAGCCACGAUCAGCGUACAGACAAAGAAGACUCACAAAAUGUUGAUAAUGUUCAUGGAAUCGAUUACCAGAGAGCAUAUCGUUAUGAGUGAGAAAAUGGCCGAGUCGAGUGUGCGAGAGACAGUAUCAACAAUAACGAAUAAGAAGGAAGGCUCGAUCGAAAAGGACCAUGAGCACGAAACAAAGGAUGGAAAGAUAGAAGGAGAAGACGGAGCGAACGAGCAUAAUAAGUUCAAGAAGGUUGAGAUGCCAGUUUUCAACACGGAAAAUACCCAAUUUUUGACCCUUUCGAGCAGAUAGAUAUUUUCAGAUACACAAAUUGACUGAUGCUGAGAAGGUCCUGGUUGCGACCAUUAGUUUUGAAGGCCCGACGCUGAACUAGUAUAGGGCGCAAGAAGCACACGACAAGUUUACCAGUUGGUCGAACCUCAAGGAGAGAAUACUCAUCCGUUUUCAAUCAGCAAAAGAGGGGUCCAUAUGCGGACAAUUUUUUAGGAUCGGAUAACAGACGACAGUAGAAGAAUAUCGAAACCAGUUAUAUAAGCUGAUGGAACCGUUAUCCGAUCUACAAGACAGAGUGGUGGAGGAAACAUUCAUGAACGGUUUACUGCCGUGGAUUAAAGCAGAAGUGGAUUUUUGUCGUCCGGUCGACGUGGCUCAAAUGGUGCACGCGGCUCAACUCGUAGAAAAUCGAGAGAUAAUUCACAAUGAGGCCAACCUUAAGGGGUACGCCCAAGGAAAAUAUCCGCCUCAAGGUUCUAGGCAAAAUACGAGUGCUGCGACGGUGAACGAUAGCGACAAUAAGAGAAAUACAUUAUUUUCGAUGAGAACGAUUACUCUGAGAACGACAUCCAGAGAAGUUAAGAGAGGGGCAGGCAAAGCGAUUGUUAGACGCGGAGUUUUCAAGUCAGGAAGGAAAAAGGACAUUGUUUUCCGUUGUAAUGAGAUAUAUUAUCAUGAUCAUCGAUGCAAAAACAGAGGGCAAAGAGAGUUGAGAAUGUACGUGGUCAGGGCGAAUGAUGAAGAAUUUGAAAUCAUAGAAGAAGUGGGAGAAAAUGAAUUGUUUGGAAAUCACAUAAGAAGAUCAUGUUGUCAUCGAACUGUCAAUUAAUUCGGUGGUGGGGCUGAACAAUCCGAGGACAAUGAAGGUGAGGGGGAAUAUCAGUGAGCGAGAAGUUUUCAUUUUCAUUGAUUGUGGAGCAACGCACAACUUCAUCUCCGAAAAGAUAGUAAAGGAGUUACAACUGGCCACGAAGGCAACGUCGCACUAUGGUGUAAUCUUGGGCUCGGGGGAGGCGAUAAAAGGUAAAGGAGUAUGUGAGGACGUGGAAAUCAAGUUGAACGGGUGGAAGGUGGUGGAAAAUUUGUUACCCUUAGAAUUGAGAGGGGUAGAUGUUGUGUUAGGAAUGCAGUAGUUGUAUUCAUUGGGCAUGACGGAAGUAGAUUGGAGGAACCUCACAAUGACUUUUGUGCAACAAGGAGAAAAGGUAGUGAUAAGAGGAGACCCAAGUUUGACCAAAUCCAGAGUGAGUCUCAAGAACAUGAUCAAAAGUGUGGAAGGAUUCGUGAUCGAGUGCCGAGCAAUGGAGAGAGUCUUUGAGCCACAGGAAGAUAACGGGAUUGAAGAAGUAUUAACUACUGAUGAAGCAGUAUCGGUCGUGUUGAAGAAUUUUGAAGAUGUUUCUAAUUGGCCGAAGACACUACCCCCGCAAAGAAAUAUUGAACAUCACAUUCAUUUGAAACAGGGCACUGAUCUGGUAAAUGUUCGACCCUAUAGAUACGCUUAUCAACAGAAAGCUGAGAUGGACAAACUUGUGGAUGAGAUGUUGACAGCGGGAAUUAUCCGUCCCAGCAACAGUCCAUAUCUAGUCCAGUUCUAUUGGUAAUGAAAAAAGAUGGCAGCUGGCGUUUUUGCGUAGACUACCAAGCGCUGAACAAUGUAACCAUUCCAGACAAAUUCCCUAUUCCGGUGGUUAAGGAGCUUUUCGAAUGAAUUAAAUGAAGCAAACUGGUUUUCAAAGAUUGAUUUGAAGGUGGGGUACCAUCAGAUCAAAAUGUGUGGAGAAGACAUCGAAAAAGCAGCAUUCCGAACACAUGAUGGACACUAUGAAUUUAUGGUUAUGCCAUUCGGCUUAACUAAUGCCACAUCCACUUUCCAAGCUCUGAUGAACUCAACAUUCAAACCAUUUUUGCAGAAGUUCAUAUUAGUGUUUUUCGACGACAUACUAAUCUACAGUGAGAACUUGGAACACCAUUUGAAGCACAUUGGGUUAGCAUUGGAAAUCCUGAGAAAGAAUGAGUUAUAUGCAAACAAGAAGAAGUGCAGCUUCGCACAAGAACGUAUUGAUUAUUUGGGUCAUAUCAUUUCAAGACAAGGAGUUGAAGUGGACCUUGAGAAAAUCAGAGCAAUCACGGAAUGGCCUAUACCCAGUAAUAUAAGAGAGGUACGGGGAUUCCUAGGCCUCACCUGUAACUAAAGAAAGUUCGUUCAGCACUAUGGCUCCAUUGCCGCACCAUUGAUUCAACUACUUAGGAAAGGGGGAUUCCAGUGGACUGAGGAGUCUAAGGAGGCAUUCCAACAACUACAAAAUGCGAUGAUGACCCUGCCCGUUUUGGCGUUGAAAAAAUUUCAAUGCCACAUUUGAAAUGGAAACCGAUGCAUCGGGAUAUGGGGUAGGAGUCGUACUCGUCCAAGCCAAGCGUCCCAUAGCAUACUUUAGUCAUACGUUAGCCUCAAGAGAUAGAGCCAAGCCUGUACAUAAAAGGGAAUUAAUGGCAGUGGUCUUGCAUGUGCAACGAUGGCGACCAUAUCUGUUGGGGAGAAAAUUUAUUGUGAAGACCGAUCAGAAAUCCUUGAAGUUCUUGUUAGAACAAAGAGUGAUACAGCUUCAGUAUCAGAAAUGGGUAGCGAAGCUAACGGGAUACUCAUUUGAGGUGGUCUACAAACUCAGCUUGGAGAAUAAAGCAGUAGACGCCUUGUCUUGGAUGCCUCCUACAAUUAACCUCGGUAGCAUAACAGCUCCUACAUUGGUUGACAUUCUGGUGACUAAAAAGGAAGUCAAAGCGUAUGAAAAAUUAAGCAAAAUAAUGGAAGAACUACAAGCAAUGGAAGAAGUAACAGAGGGUAAAUUCUCCAUCCGACAAGGUAUGUUAAGAUAUAAGGAUAAGUUUGUGUUGUCCAAAACAUCUACAUUGAUACCCACAAUCCUACAUACUUACCAUGAUUCGGUACUUGUGAGGAAUGUGUAAUAUGUCAGAAGAACAAGUCCCUAGUGUAACGAGCAUACUUGUCCAAGGUGUGUUUACCUAUGGCCGUAUGCUCCGAUUAGCCCCAAUUUACCUUGUCUUUAUGUCUUGCACGUAGCUUAGGUAGUUGCUUUCAAUUUCAAGUCGAUAUGCUUGGGUGUGACGUUUCGGCAUUUUCAUAUGUUAAAAAUGUACUAUAGGGGAGGCAUACCUGUUGAAUCCCUGCCCAAGCCUUGUCGUACUCUUUGCAGUCUAUGCUUUCUUAUUGCAAUUGACAGUCUUCAAUGCUUGUUUUAACAACGUUUUCAAUCAAUUUAAUCAUCUUUCAUGUUUUCUAAAACUAUUUUUCCAAGAACGUGAGGGGAGGUUGAAGUAUGUGUUAAAGUUGUCUGCGAUUUGCAGAUUUUGAUCGGCUGACUUGUUCGCCGAGCUAGAACAAGUGCCGCACAAUCGUUCACAAUCGUGUAUGGGUUUCGUAAGGGUUACACAGUAAAGGAAGAGUAAGAAUUUGAGUGGAGAAACUCCAAAUUGGGAUCAACACGUGGGCAACAACAUGGCUUCUCACCAACAUGAGAACUCAAAAGAGACAGCAGAUAUUCUAGAGAAGCCAAUGAACUCUUGGGAUGUGAAUCUGCACUUUCCUGCAAUAGUUUGAGUGUGAAUUAGUUCUCUGAAAACACCUGCAGAGGAUAAUCCACGGCAAAACAGAAUAACUAUAAAAAAACCACUUGCAAGUAGAAGAAAAAGGAAGUACAUUUAUACCUUCCCUGUCAAAGUGAUAUCCCUCAUCAACGGAUAUGCAUUUCUUUCCAGGAAGUAGCCAACAAUUUUACAAACCCAUGGGAGUUUAGGUUGUAAUAAGAAAACAAUUGUGUCCAACAAUAGAGUUGCAGGUGUGUUAGAGUUCACAGGUGCAGCCAAAAGUUGAUUCCUCAAUUGGUUUCUAUCAAGAACAACAUCAAGUAAGAAUAAUUCGGAGGAAAAAUAAAGGCAACUUAUCAUAUAUAUAAAUAUGAUUAGUCUGAAUUCGUUUGCGGAAGGUAAAAAAACCUUUAUGUCAAUUAUAUAUAUCUGAACAAAAUCUAAGAAAUAUAUCACUUUUCAACAAAAGAAAUAUAUCAUAUACAAUUAAAGGAUCAUAGCAUAGAAAGCCAACAAAAUCAACAAUGAUAGAUCAAACAUCUGUUUUUCCAUUCAAAACGUUAAAAAGGAUAAGUUUUUAAUAAGGAAUGUUGAAAUGGAAAAAACUAAUUACCUAUUAUGGUGUACAAUCUGGAUGCAAGCAUAUGCAAAUUUCUUAACUCUGUAAUCCACUAAGGCCUUGUUAAGUACAUAAUCCUUGCUAGCGAAAAUGCUCAACAUAUCCCCUAUAUAUGUAAGAGAGAGAAAGGUUAGAAAGUACUAACACUAAGAGAUAUGUGCUAUCAAUUAGAAACACUUUAAGAUGACAUUAUCAAUUAGAAAACCAAGUAUUAAGCAACAUAAGGGAAAAUAACAAACAAGGGCACCACAGUGGUUCAGAAACCAAUCAAUAUUUCCAUUUGUCACUUUUAUAAUAAUUUCCCAAGGGAAAAUCCUCAUAAUAAGCUUGAGUACCACCUAAUAACGUGUUCAAAUGUUACCAUAAGCAAAAAUGAGUGAUCCUAAAAUUCAUAUGACAAGGAAAGUCGUCAACUAGCAACCGCCAAAUAACAGUUAUAUGGCUAGAAUUAGUUUUCUCCAACUUCAAGAAAAUAAAACAUAUUAAAACAAAAGGAAUUAUGGUGCAAAAUAAUGAAUAUGCUGCAAAGGUAAGAAGUUUCUGAAGGUAAAAAUGGUCAAUAAAAAACAACAUAUAAUUUGACGUAAAUCAAAGUAGAAUUAUUUCUCGCAAUGAAUUCUCUGCCAAUAAUGGCUAAGAGAAGGGGUAUUUAUUGAGAAUUAGUUGGCCAGGCAGAAAUCAUCUAGGGCAUAGUAUUGUUUUAGGUCUGCGACAUUAAAAACAUAAUGAAUGUGUAAGUCUGGUGGUAGUUCUAUUUUGUAAGCAUUAUCUCCGAUCCUCUUUAGGACACGGAAUGGUCCUAAUUGUCUGUCUUUUAGUUUGUUGUAUGUUUCGGUUGGAAAUCGAUUUUUUCUUAGGUGAAUCAUUACUAAAUCUCCCUUGGUAAAGGUAGUUUGUCUUCUUUUUCUGUCUGUUGCGUCUUUGUAGGACUGAGUUGUUUCUUUUAGGUGAUUGUGGACUUCUUCGUGUAAAUUCUGGAUUUUUUCUAUCAUCUUUUCUGCCUCUGAUAGUUAGGGAACUCAACACAUUUUACUUGACCUAACCAAGAUGGCUCUUUGUAUGUAUAUUGCAUGUGUUGUUUGUUUUUUUCUAUAGCUCUUGAUUGUCUCACUUUUUUACGUUUUGCAUUUGCAAUUCUCUUUUCUUUCUUUGGUAUGCAAUGUGGUAACAAGGUCUUGCUAGAACCGGUGGGCUAACCUUUCUAUGGUUCUAAACUUAGUUUCUAAGUUUGACUGCUCCCUUCGGAGUGACAACAAGCCUCGUUUUUCUCCCUACUAUGGAACGGGGAGGAUUCAUUUUCUUUUCAAAGCCCUCGUCAAACUCAAUGCUAAGUUUGACUGCUCCCUUCGGAGUGACAACAAGCCUUGUUUUCCCCUAAUGUGGAUCGGGGAGGAUUCCUUCUCUUUUCAAAGCCCUCAUCAAACUCGAUGCUGUGUUUAGAACGCUAAGAGUAGGUGGUCUGGUUUUGGUUAGGCCAAAAGUGAAGUUUUCCCCCAUUUUUUAUGGGCUUUUUCUAAUGUAUAUUGGAUAUGUUGUUUGAUUUUUUUUAUAGCUCUUGAUUGUCUUACUGUUUUAUGUUUUGCAUUGUCAAGUCUCUGUUUUCUUUCUUUGGUAUGCAAUGUGGUAACUAGGUCUUGCUAGAACCGGUAGGCUAACCUUUCUAUGGUUCUACAUUUAGUUCCUAAUUAAGUUUGAUUGCUCCCUUCGGAGUGACAAUAAGUUUUGUUAAUGUCGACCCUUUUCUAAAGGGAUUUAGUUCACUGUGGCUAGGCAAGAGGUUUCUAACUCAUGUUUGACAAGACAAAUUUGUUAAAACCAUCUUAGUUUCUAAAGAGUGCCUCCUAUCCCUUUUUUACUCUAUCUAGGCUAGGUUUGGACUAAGUGCAUCAUAGGUAAGUCACGACAAAGCAACAAAGGAAGACAAAGCUAGAAAAGUAUUCAUGCACUUAUUUAUUAUACAUGCAAUCAAGCAUUCACAACAUACAUACCAUUUUCUCAAUCAUGCAUUCACACCUCAAUAAGAAAUAGCUAAAAGGAGCUUACAACAAAAAAGACAGCCGCUUAUUCUCAAAUUUCAGCACAUAUACUCAUCAAAAUUUAGAAUUUCACAUUGCAAACCCGAGCUCAGUGCUCAAGGGUUGCCAAUCAUGCUUUUUAUGCAAGAUCUAAUUAAGCUAAGAAGGUAUAAUGCUCAUUUUGUAUGGAAAGAAUUCUGAAAUUUUUUUUAAAUUUGGGCAAAAUUUGAACCCCGAAGUUUAGACUAAACAUGCAAGCUAAGCAAGCUAUUACCCACACCCACUCAAAAAAUUGCUUUGUCUGUCCUAAAAGCUUUUGAAAAUCAAAGUAAAUGGAGAAAAAUAAGGGGGAACUUUGGACUCCCCUAGAAGGAUCGACAUCCUUGACUUUGGUUUGAAGCUUGCAUGGAUAAACCUUUUCAUUCCUUUUUAAUUGAUUAUUCAUCCUUGUUCCUGAAAAUCAAAGGAAAUUCUCUCAAUUUUAUAUAUUACUAAAAUUAGGAUACAUAUAAGUCUUAACUAGUCUAAUAGCACCCUCCAUUCAUCUUCCCCUACACUGGCUAUGGUAUCAAAAUUUUCAAUUAAGUAAUACGUCUACUAACGAACUUGAAAACAAAACACAUCACACUAAAAAACACAAACAUCACUUUAACCCAACAGAAGCUGCUCUUUUUACCCUUGCACUCACUAUCACAUUACUAUCAUGUUUGUCAACUGUCAAACUAACUCUUUUAAGUUAUUUAGUGUGACUACAAAGUUAUGAACACCAUAAUCUUAAUUAAAACCUUUUAAUAAACAAAUGCCAAGUUACUACUCAACAAUGGCAAGGAAUUCAAAAAACAUGACUGUAACGACCCAACUUUUCUAGGUAAGUCGAAGUCAUUAAUUUCAAAUAAGGACCUGAGUUUACACAAAAUCUCAAUCUCAAACAAUUUCAAAGUCUCAAGAAAAACAAAAAUUUAUACCUGGGCCCGGUUUAAAAUAACCAGCACCUUCAAGACAAAUUUACUAAUUCGUGAAUACAGUUCAACUAUAAAAUUUUCUAAACAAUCUCAAGUACUAAACAAAACACGUGAAACAAAACAUUUAGCGGAAGCAAUUUAAAAUAACCCCUAUGGCAAUCACGCUUCCUUUCUGCCCCUCGUCGGUUUGCCGUCUUUAUUACCUUUGCCUGAAAAUUAAACAUAAGGAGGGUGAGUAUAAAAAUACCCAGUACGAGACCCUCUACUGGUCCCGUCAGGGGAAAAUAAAUUGUUAACAUUCUAUUGGGACACCCUGUACAGUCACAGUCUUGUGAUCCCGUAGGAGGCACAUUUCAGUCUAACGCCCCGAGGGACGUACAUUUCAGUCUAGUGUUCUGCAGAAACACAUAUCAGUCUAAUGCUCUUGAAGGUGCAGAAUAAUUGGUGAUCCGUGUGACACCUACAAGGCACACAUCCCAAUAAAAGCUAACAAUUUUUCCCCUCAGUCCAUUCUAAACAUCUUAACAGUCAUUCACAGAUCAGUUAAACAUUCUCAUCACGUAAACUCUUUAUUUAACCUCAAACAGUCGUCUUACUCUAGUUUAGUCCAAGGUCAAUAAAAAAACAUAUCAUUACAUCAGUUAACAAGCUAAACAAUCAUAACCUCCUCCUCAGUCACCAAGGGCACCACCAUGACGUUUCUUCCGUUCACAAGCACACAACAUAACAGUAGAUUAUACACUCAGUCUAGACAACAAUCAAUCUACUAAUCAAAUCCACACUUUAUAUAAGCAACAUCUACGAGAUUCAGUCGUUUCCACAUCCUUAUCUUUGUACACAUACAUAACUAGACAGUCACAACAUAUACUCAACCACAGUCUACAUCAAUCCAUGCACAUAUAUGUAUUAAUUUCUCCCAGUCAAACAUAGCAAACAUUAAACUUUAAGUCAAUGCCCAAACAUACAUCAUAACAGUCAUCUCUACUCAGUUCAAAUCAAUACAUCUUAAUUAGUCAUUAUAUAUUAAUUUUGUUGUUGAGUCUAGUAGAAAAUCCCUUACUUUCAAGUUAGUUAAGCUCCUUAACCACGUUGAAGUCUACGAAGAACGAACCUAAACAUUAAGACAAUUUCUCAAUAAUUCUCUUCAACGCAUCAAUCAUUUAAAUUCAACCCAAUGUGAUUUUUUUUUUACAACUUACCCAAAUCUUCACAAAACGAGUUCCAACUAGAAUCAAUUGUUUGCUGCGAACCCAAUGAAUUCGAGUGUUACCUUCAACCUAUAAUCGAACAGUAAACUAUUUAUCCAACCAAUUAAUCCAGCAAUAUUACUUGAGUUUAUUUUGGAAACAGUUACAAAUUUCAUAACUUCAAUCUUACCAAUCAAAAUUUAAUGACUCGUGGCAAAGCAGGAACGACAGCGAACAACCCAAUCGAAUGGCGUGGGUUUGCUACCUGCGGCAGGACGAAGAAGGAACUCGACGCGCAGAAAGUUGGAUCUGGGGUCUUUAGUUCGGUUCACGGUAGCGAAUUAAAACCUGAUUGCGCGGACGUCAAAGGUGUUAUUCGCGGAAGAAGUCGAGCAGCAGCUUUGCGAAGAGACGACGUGCGACGGAGAGACUGUAUACAGACGGACGGAGAGUCGCGCGGCAGUGCAGAAAACGGAGGAGAAAGGAAUGGGCGGCGGCUGGGCUUGGCUUCGACGGAGACAGAGGCGAUUAGGACGGGGCACGGCGACGCAGAUCUGGACGACGGCGCGGAGACAGAGGUUGCGCGGCGCUGGGCAGAGGGUCAAACGGCGCUGGGCGAAGGGUCACACGGCGCUGGGCGGAAGGUCACACGGCGGCCUUGCUUCGCGAACAGAGAUGGCGGCCGACGGUUGCAGCGGCGGCUGGGUAUGGUAGAAAAGAAAGAGAAACGGAAGAAGAAUAGGGGCGGCGACCGUGGAUCGGAGAAGAAAAGAAGGAUGAAAGCGAUGGUGGUCGGUUGGAGGGUGCGGCUGGAGGUAGGGAUCGGUGAAGGAGAAAAUAGAAAAAGAAAAUGAAGGGGAAAUGGGGGUUGCGCGCGGGAGGAAGAAGAAAGGAAAAAAAAUUCUUUUUUUUUUUUCUUUUCUUUUAUUUAAAUUAAAUAAUAAAACUAAAAUAUAAAUAAAUAUAUAUAUAAUUAUAUUAUCACAUUUUCAAAUCUUCUUUCUCCCCCUUCAUCAUAUUUUCUUCAAAAAAAUAAAUCUUGUACAAAUCGAAUAAUUUUCUUAAAAUAAAUUACCUUCGAGUUUGGGGCGUUACAAUGACAGCUAUAUUGUAACUUGGCACUUGGGGACUUUAAUGGUGUCAAUAUUGUAACUUCUGGUGCCAUGACAAAUAUUGGUGACUGUCAAGAUAAGUUCGCAUAGCCACCGAAAGAUACAUCGUUGCUUUUGAAGAAUGACAAGACUCUAAAUGAUAUAUGCAGCAUUAUUUUGGUUAUAUCCAAUCUUCUUUGAAGGCUAUGUACUUGAAGAUUUUAAUCAAUAAAUAAAAUGAAGUUUAAUUUUUAAAAUAAUAACAUUACAAUGGGAUGGCGAUUGGAAUUGAUUACUUUGGUUAAAAUUUAAGAUUAGAUUAAAAAAAUCAAUUAAUAGAUAAUUCCAUCCAAUCAAAAUAACUAAAUAAAAGACGAGAUUUGAAAAUAUAAUAUCCUAAUAGACACUAAUAGACUUAUAUUAAUAGAUAAUUUCCUGCCGAUGAAAAAUUACUAAAGUUGUACUAUAUUUUAUAAAUAUUUCAAAACAUUACAUAAACACUAAUUAAAGUUGGGUUUAGUAGCAAAAGGUUACAAAUUUAUUGACACCUUUUUUAGGAAAAAAAAUACCUUGACAUGAUGUAAACUAAAUUUGUAAUCAGCAUUGAAAUCUUUACUAUACUAAAUGGGCUCGUGGAGAAAAAAUUAUAUACAUCUAUUUUAUUCUUAAAUUGUCGAAAAAAAAUUAUAUUACCUUUUGUGAUCUAACGUAGUUGUGACUUUUAUAGUGUAAGUGUCCAUUUUAAUGUUUGGAAAGAUGAUUUUUCCAAUUUUUUAGUUUACAAAAUAAAGUUCUAUAUUUCAUAAAAUAAAACCUUAUGUUGAAUAUAUGUAACUAAUGUUGAUAGGAUGUGAUUGGUUGAUCUUCAAGAUACGAUGCAUUCUGUUUAGAGUGGAGAUGGUUGCACACACAUCAAAUUGGUGCAUUGAUUCCUCCAAAUUUACAUGUGAAAUGUAAAUGUAAAAGAAAAACAAAACAAACUCUUGCAGUUACACAUUAGGAAAAAAAAACGUCACGAAAUUCCAAAGUUCAAAAGAAAACAAACAUACACAGGGAUUUAAUUGAUUCAAAGUAGUAACAAAUGGUGAAAAAAUGCAUAAUUUGUUGUGAUUUCACAUUAACAUGUUAGAAUAAAAAAUUAUCGUAUUCUAUAUAUUACAAUAUUGGAUCAAAUAUUAAUACAUUAAUUUAAUUAUUUAAUUACUACAUCAAUGAAUUUCUUUUUCUUUUUUAAAUAAUAAUUUUACCAUUAAUAUUAUAUAAUAUUUGUUUAUUAUAUGCUAAAGCAUAUUUAAAAAUUAAAUAGAAUUAAGAGAUUUCACGUGAAUUUAUGCACAUGUUUCAACUGAAAAGAUGGAAACAAUAGUCACAAAUUAUUUUUUCCUAAAACAAAACAUUCGUAACCAAAUCUAAAUAUGCACUUUCAUAACUAAGGACCAAAACUCAUAUUACGUAGAAUUGAGCAUGGUUUAAAUGAAAUUAUUAACAAAAUACUUACACUUUAAACCAGGUUUUUUGGCAACAUACAUAGUGAGAAAAUUCCAAAUUUACCCUCUUACUUGUAUCUUUUCAAUAAAAAGUGCAUCUUAGUUGUAAUUAUGUCAAAAUAAAAAUAAAAAAAUAACUCGUCAGUUAACGUGGUUAUUCAUUAAUUGAUUUGGGUGAACUUUCUGAAGAUAAAAAUAACAAAAACAAACAAACAAAAGACUAGAACAUGUUAUUUAAUUAUGUAAUUACAACUUCCCUUUCUCCUCCGUGAGAAAAAAAACCAUUUCUCUAAAUUUCAUCUAUAUAUGUGUAUUGAUCAAAUGACCCAUAUCAAUAAGGACACAAAAUUGGCAAAGAACAAAUAAAUUAAAAUGGACAAUAACUCUUGUUUCAUUACUUUCUCUCUCAUUGGAGUUCUUUUGUUCACCAUCAUUUCAAAUGUGGCAUCAUCUAACGACGUUGUUUCUACCAUCUGUUCAGAAAUCUCAAAUCCACAAUUUUGUUUAAGUGUGUUGAAAUCUGCAGGCACUACAGAUCUAAAAGGCUUGGCUGUAUACACCUUAAACCUUGCUCAUUCAAAUGCUGGCAAAUCUUUGAUCCUAGCCAACUCACUAGCAAAAGCCACCACCAAUCCUCAACUUAAGCAACGAUAUUCAUUUUGUGCUGAGAGCUAUGAUGAAGUUGUUGGUGACAUUGAAAAUGCUCAAAACGACUUGGCACUUGGGGACUUUAUUGGUGUCAUUAUUGCAACUACUGGUGCCAUGACAACUCUUGGUGAUCACUGUCAGAAUAAGCUCUUGCAGCCGCCGAAGGAUACAUCGUUGCUUUUAAAGAAUAGCAACACUCUAGAUGAUAUAUUUAGCAUUAUUAUGGUUAUAUCCGAUCAUCUUUGAGGGUUAUGUACUUGAACAUUUUGAUCAAUAAAUAAACUGAAGUUUAAUUUUUAAAAUAAUAUUACAAUGUGAUGGUGAUUGGAAUUGAUUACUUACUUUGAUUAAACUUGAGAAGAUAAAGAAAAUCAAUUAAUAGAAACGUUCACCGACACACAUUGUCAGCACGUCGGAGAAAGCCUAAACUUUUUUUUCUUUUCUUUUACGUUCUGUUUUCUUUUCUUUGUUUGCCAUCAUCAUCGUCAUCUUCUUCUUCUUCUAGCUUCUUACGUUCUGUUUCAAUUGCAUACUUCUGUUAUUCUUGUAAUUUCUUCGUGGUUUUCUUUUUAACUUUGUGUUUCAGUGUGGAUUCAUAAACACAUUUUUCAGUGCUCUGGAUUCUGGAUCUGUUAUGAUUUGAAAGGGUACAGUGAAGUGAAAAGUUGAAAUGGAAAAGAAAAAAAAGAAGAAAAGAGGACACUUCUCGCGGUGGUGGCGGCAAAGACUGACGUCGACGACAACACAACUCUCCUCCUCUCCCUAUAUCUCGGCCGAUUUUGGGUUUAUUUUCGUUUUGCAUUCUGUUAUGUGUAGAAGGGAGAAUAAAUAGUGUGGACUUUCCCCGACAUCUUCGAAAACGUUGGGAAAUUUACCUUUUCGCCGACGUAUGUAGUACACACGUCGGAGAAAGUUUAAAUAAUAAAUUCAUUAUUUAAACUUUCCCCGACGUACUCCUGUCAUACGAGUCUAAAUUAAAUUUAAUGCGUUCUCCUUCGGCGAUGUGUGUCAAGGUGACGUUGGAAAAAGUUUAAACACUAAUGCAAUUAUUUUAAAUCACAUAUGUUAUCGCUUAUAUGGCAUAAGAGUCUAUUAACGAUAGAAAUCUAUCUUGAUAGGUUUUGCUACAUUUACAAUUUUUAAAAAAUAUUCUUAUAUACUUAACUAUUAUUCCUAAAAUUGCUAACCCAUUAUACUUACCCUAAGUUAAAUGUAUAAUGUCAAAAGUAAGUUUACUACGAAGGUAAUCUAUGUGACCCUUUUAUCCUAACGUAGGAAGUUUGUUCCACUCCAUACCAUUAUUGAACUAAAAGGAUUAAGUGUGUAUUAAUAUGUUUAAACAAGUAUAAUUAUAGCAAAAUCUAUAAGUGAUAUAUUGAUAUUAGCAAUACAAUACGCGUCACAUAUGCAAACAUUUUGUGUCUAAUCGUUGUAUUUACAAUUAACUCCAUUAAAAUAUUACAAAUAGAAAUAGAACUCUUUAAUCUAUGUUCAGUUAGGAUCACAAACUACAAAAUGAAAGCAUGGAACAAAUUUAAUUUUUUUUUUCUUUAAAGGAAAUUUUGUGUGUAGCACAUUAUAUUUUUUUCUUUCCUUUAAAAAACAUUAUUGAUCUUAUGAUAUUUGACAUAUAUUAUAUUUUUUUAAGAAUGUAAAUAAUGUAAAUAAUGUGCCAAAUAAUUGAAAACAUGUUAUCCAAAACAGAGAAUGGUUAAGAAAUUGUUGACAUUUAGUCAAAUUAAUAAAUAAUUCAAAAUUGUGUUUGAUUUUUGAAUUUGAAAAGAUAGUAAAUUAGAAGUGUUUUGAAAUAGUAUUUACGAGAAGAUUUUUAAUUUUAAAUAGCAUUAUAGUAGCUAUGGAUGGUUAUAUAAUAGUCUACACAAUCUUUGUCACAAAUGAUUAAUUCGAUUUUUUAAAUCAAGUCUAAUGUUUUUUUUUUUUUUUUUUGCCUAUUUCUUACCAUAAUUUACAUUUUUUGUAAGUAUAAUGGUUGAAUGCAAAAAGAGAGCUGACUAGUAAGUGCAAAAAGAGAUCUCACAAGCUUCUGCAAAAGCUAAUCAAGCAACCCAAAUCAUAAACGAGGAGAAAAGUUGAUUGGUUAAGCUUUGUUGUAGUAAAGAAGUCAAAGUGAACAUGGAACGUUCUUCACUCUCAAAGAACAUCGCCAACAUAUAGAUUAUAUACUUUUUCUGGUAUUGACCCAAAAAACACAAUCCAAGUGUAUUUUUGGUGAGAUGCAUAGUUUAACUAAACCGUGUUAUUACAAAAUUUUUAAUUACUAGGAACUCCUAAUGAAACGAAUACAUUAUUUUUAUAAUUACGAGGUAAAAUGGAAACAUACAAACUACUAAAAAAAGUUGCAAUUCGAUUAUUGGGAUUCAAUCUACUCUCCAUGAAUGUUCUUGAAAUGAGAGUUUUUAAGCAGCUACAACUUGCUUAUGUAUAAAAGCAAAACCCUUCUCAACGCCUACCUUCAGUUUUGGCUUUAGAGCUUCAAGUGAUUUUUGCCCCUACUCAGAUAAACCCUGAAGAUCAGAUGUUACAAAGGCUUCAAUUCCACAUGCAAAAAUCAUGUUCAUGAACCAAAAGCACCUUAAGCUUCUCUUCGAUAUCUUUGAGCUCACUGGAUAAAGAACUGAUUUCUAAAGCAAUCAUCUCUACCAUAUCCUCAUCGUUCCCACUGUCUUUUAAUAAGGUUGGCAUGAUAAUCACAACAAAGAAGAAGAAACUAAGAUCAAUUUAACAAAUUUUAUGUUGGGAAACUUUUUUAAGAACAACUACUUAUAAACCAACCUUAGCUUUGGCCUCACAUUCCUUGAAUUUUCUAAAAGUAGAUACCACCUGUCCGGGCAACCCACACCAACCAACCAAGAGUAAGUUAGUGUGAAAGACACUUAUUUAAUGAAGAAUAUGUAAAAGAGGUCAUUCCAACUGUUACACAUAAUAGUAUUGGAGGCAGAUAACCUUGCCAUACCUCAUCAAGUUCUGAUAUUGAUUGAGCUAGUUUUUGAUACUCUGUGGGGUUUGAGACAAUAUCUGGAUUGACCAGCUUAACCUAAAUAAUAAUAUCGAUAGUGAUUAUUGUGUAGGAAAAUAUUAAAGCUAUAACCAAAUCAAAAGCAUAAUUGGAAAUACAUCAAAGAUGUAAAUGCAAAUUUCAAAAGUGGAUCUACAGAAUGUAAGGGGAAGAAACUCAAAUAAAAUUACUUUAUUAGUUAUACGACUACUAUAGAGAUUCCAGAUACACCACAGUUCCACGUCCUCUUUCAGGAGGAAAGCAAUGGUUAAAAAUUAAUUGUGAAAACUAAAGAAGGUCCUGUUCAAAUCCUAACAGCAAUAGGAAAGCAAGGAGUUAUAAGGUGAUCACUAUAGCCAAAUCCAAAAUGCAUUCAAUAUUUGUCUUCCAAUUUCAUUAUCAAGUGCAUAGGCAAGGUCCCUAGUGAGGAAGUUAUUCGUUCUUUUCUUCAUUUUCUAUAGCUCUAGAAGUAGCUAAAUGGAAUCGUCAAGCACCUAAUCUAUUAAUUUUAAAACUCAAAAGUUCACCGCGGGAUUCUAGUCACUGCUGAAACAACAUAGAGUUCACUAGUUCCACAGUUAAAUUAAUUGCAAAUUGCAUUUCCUGGCAUUUUCAAGAAAAAAAAAAUGCACAAAUCAUAAUAUGAUGAAGUAGAAAAAUUUUGUGAGCUCGACUUUUCCAGGACAUAUCUUAGCUACUUCUCCUAUUCCAGCUCGAUAACCAUUGUACUUUAACAAUUGAAACAUUAAUCCAAUAGUUAACAAUGUUCUGCACUUUAUGCCCUUACAUUUCCAACAACUUGAUGCAUACAUCAGUAGUUAACACAGGCACGAGCUCUUAAAUUCAAUGCAAAAUAACAGUCCCAUUCCAAGCAUAGACACCAAAUACAAACAAUUGAUGGACUUGAAUCAGUGAAGAAAUAAGAAUGUCAUUUAACAGCAAAGCACAAAUUACCGAUAAUUUUUUCCACGUCUUCUCAGCAGAUUCCAAUUUCACGAUCAAAUAAGGUUCCUAAAAUAAAGCAAUCACCAUCAUCAUUUUCCACAAAUAUGAUUCGAACUAGUUUUACCACAAAUUAAUUUCUAGUAACUUGAAGAAAAACUCAGUGAACUCAAAGCAUAACGAAACUCAAGUUCUGUUAAAGCCAAUCCGAACAAUAAGAUAUAGACAUAUUGUGUUCUCGAAAGAAAAACAUUCAAUAAAUCUAACAGCCAUGCAAAUUAGAGUUGAAGCUCUAAAGGGAGGUGCAAAGCAUUUAAGUUCCAGAGAGCAUCUUCUGAAGGCGAUGAGCCCAUAAGAUGAAAAAAAGGCCUCAAGUGAGGAAGAAAGACGCCAUCCAAACAUGAAAAAAGGAAGAAAGGCAAGAUUUUGGUAGCUCCAGACCUGAGGGAAGCCAACAAGGUGGCGAGGGAGGCAAGGCCCCAAAGUUUAGCAUUGCCAGCAAAGUGAAGGUAGAGAAGGACCUUUCCUUUCGACGUGGCCCUCCGAGAGUUUAUGGACGCCCCAAUUGGGGCGUUUGGAUGGAGUAAGUUCUUCAAGGGACUUCCAAGAUUCGAUGGAGGUUGUCAAGAAAUUCUACGCAUCAGAUUACAACCACUACAAGGAAUUUCAGAUCAACCAACACAAUUUAACACUAUUGGGAGAAUCCACGAAUUCUUGGUCAAGUAGAAGAACCUCCAUGUGGAAGAAACAAAUUGUGAACGUGUCGAAGACCUUGAAGUGUGGAAAUGGAAGAUCAAAGAGUUCCAGCUUCGCCAGUCGACAGGGACGUCAACUGUUUAAGUAGGGGAGAAUGUCAAGAGCAUGCUUGUCCAAGGCAUUGUUUGCCCAUGGCCGCAUGGCCGAACAUCCUCAAACCGCCUUAUAUUUAUGUCUUAUACUUAGUUUAGCCAUUUUGUUUCCUUUUGUUGUCGCCGACCUAGGGUGUGACGUUUCAAAAUUUUCAUAUGCAAGUCUGUCAUAGCUAAAAAUGUUUAAAAUGUACUAUAGGGAAGACAUAGUAGUUGAAUCCCUGACCAAGCCUUGUUGCACUCUUUGCAUUCUAAUCUUUCUUUGCAAUUAACAGUCUUCAAUGCUUUCUUUAACGAUGUUUUCAAUUCUUUUCUUCUCUUCUUGUCUUAUAAAAAUAAAUUUCUCUCAAAACAUGAAAGAGGCUAUACCGUACUGCGUGCUUUUUGCGACUUCUGGAUUUCAUACAGCUUACUUGUUCACCGAGCUAGAACAAACGUCGCAUAAUCACCAUCCCCUAUUUGAAAAUUUACGAUUAUGACAGCAUGCGGUGAGGUGCACGCGGCAUGUGUGGGCCCAAGCCAAGCAUGCAACUGGCAUUCUGAUACUCUAUGCACGUGCAUGCUGCCUGCGCCCAUGCCGUGCAGCCAGCAUUGUCAUGACGUAGUUUUUGGGAUGUUUGGUGUUUUGGGAAAUUUUGAGCAAAUUCUGGAUGUUCGAGCAUGCGGAUGUUCUAUGCAAUGCAACCAGCAGCCCAUAUGUUCUAUGUUCUCUUUACGGUCGUAUGUGCACAUUUGGUUAACUCUACUACUAAUGGGAAAGUUGACGAGCCUAUGCUGAAUUCAUCAGGAAAGGUGUACUUUGUUGAGCCCAUUGAGGAGAAGGAUACCUUCUUUUUUCGAAGAGGUGUUUCAAUGCCUAGGCCGUCUUUUGACAAUGAGGUGUUAAUAUUACCUAGACUUCAUGCUAAGAACGGGUUGUGAAUUUAUAAUCAAGAAUGCAGUUCGAGUAUCAUGUCUUUCAAAUGAUUUCCAACAGCUUGAAUGUUUCUAUAAGACAAGAAUUUAUGCUUAACUGUUUUAGAAAGCAUGUUUUAUAAAAAUUGUCACUCACUAAGUCUUUCGACUUAUCCUUUCAAAUCAUUUCUCACUUUUCAGGUAUGGAUUAUGCAUUCCCUAAUGUUAAGCGUAUUGCUGCUGAGCCAACCAGUUACUAGAAAUUGUUAAGUCAUUUUGAAAGUUAGUUUUGACUUUGUAAGAAAAGUUCAGGAUGAGCAUGUCUAUGUUUAUUGUUAAAGUUCCAAUGUUAUAAGUUAGUUUAGUAAAAAGGUCACUGUCAUGUUUAAAGCUUCUGCUGAUGUAUCACAAUAGUUGUAACUAGUGGUUUAAGUUAUUAGUAAAAGCAUGUAGCUUGUAUCGCUGUUUGUUUUGAGCAUGCAUUCAUGUUGUAACUGGUAGUUAAGUUAGAAAGGUUAGUCGGUUGGUAAGUUUUGCCAAGGUAUGGCAAUCCUUGCCAACCCUCGCACCUUCUUUCAGAGCUAGAUGUUGUUCAGAAAAUAAGGAGCUUUGGGAGGGGGUGGUGACAACAACACCAUCCCACUAGAGUACGCAAUGAUGCAUUAUUGUUUAAUUAAGUCAUAUAUACUUCCACAAUUUGGAUAGGAAUUUAACUCAUUAGAAGGUGUCCUAUAGAAUUUCUCAGUGAAAAGUUCAGAGAAGCUACAAACAAAUGUCACUACCGAACAACAAUCAUAUACAUGGGUUAGGGCUUUGAGCAGUGUGAACACAACUUAAUAAUAAAUAUGAAGUCGUCCUCUUUUCAUCAUUAGUCAGAAGAAUUCUUAAACUUUCUAAAAAUAAUUGUCAAAUAAUUGAUUAUAUAGUAUGCCAUUUAUUUGGAAUACAAUUUUUUCAUUACCAGGAAAGGAGACUUCUCACUAAGUAAAUGUAAAGAGACUAAUGCUAUAAUUUGAAUUGGAAAAUAUAAUUUCAUAAUUAAGCAUCGAAUAGGGACUAGUUAAGAAGUACACACUUUAGUUUGCCAGAGUCCAUGUUCUACACAUGUUAGCCACUCUGUCAUUGGUUUAGCAGUAAAACAAAGGAUGUGUUUAGGAUGUGAGCCACACAAAAGGGAAAGAAAACAGAAGGCGCAGUGAGCCACACAAAAGGGAUCGAAACGAAUGUUCAGAAAUAUCGGAAGGAUCGAAGAAAUAUGGAAGGAAAGACGAGGAAAAAACAACAGACCGGAGCAAGUUCAAGAAGGUAGAGAUCCCGAUCUUCAAUGGAAUAGACCCCGAUUCAUGGUUAUUUCGCGCCGAUCGUUAUUUCAAGAUACACAAGUUGACUGACUCAGAGAAGUUAAUGGUAGCGGUAAUCAGUUAUUAGGACCAGCUUUGGAUUGGUAUAGAUCAAUUGAUGAAUUGGAACAAUUCAAGAGUUGGGAAGAUUUGAAGCAAAGGUUGUUGUCCGAUUUCAGACGAUUCGGGAUGGAACACUCGUAGGCAGAUUCUUAAGGAUUAAGCAGGAAACGACAGUAGGGGAAUAUAGAAACAGUUUCGAUAAAUAUUUAGCUCCGGUAGCCUUCCUCCAGACCAUAGUAUUAGAAGAAACCUUUAUGAAUGGGCUAAGCCCAUGGCAUAAAUCCGAAGUUGAAACGCUGGAGCCCAUAGGUUUGGCCAAGAUGAUGUAACUAGCCCUGAAAUUGAAAAUAGAGAGAUGGUUCGUCGAGAAUGUGGGCUUAGUAGUGUUUCGGGAAUGAAUCAACAAUUCAAGCAUAAUAACGUAAAGCAAACCUCGACAGUAACACCCAAUCAGAAACCCACGGAAGGGAGCUGGCCAAUGAGAACGAUUACGUUAAAAAGAGUGACGGCAGAUGAAAAGAGGAGGGAAGGUCCGACCAAGCGUCUUUCCAACGCUGAAUUUCAAGCACGGAGGGAAAACGGUCUGUGUUUUCAGUGUGAGGAGAAGUAUCACGCUGGACAUAGGCGUAAGGUGAAGGAACAGAAGGAAUUACGGAUGUUAGUAGUAAAGGAAAUGGGAGAAGAACUGGAAAUCAUUGAGGAUGAACACUUUGAUGUGGAAACGGAGGCCCAGACCAUUGAAAUUGAAAAAGUGGAGAAUAUGAAUAUAGAGCUGUCCAUUAACUCAAUUGUGGGGUUAUCCAACCCUGGAACCAUGAAACUGAAAGGGAAGAUAAAAGAGACCAAAGUGGUAAUAAUCAUCGACAGUGGAGCCACCCACAGUUUUAUUGCAAAAAAUUUUGUAACCACCCUUAGCCUACCAAUGACAGAAACGUCCAACUAUGGAGUGAUUUUGGGAUCAGGGGUUGCGGUCAAAGGAAAAGGAAUCCGCAGUAAUGUUGAAGUGACGGUAGGAGAGUGGAAAAUUACAAACAACUUUUUACCCUUGGAAUUAGGGGUGGUUGCACUCAUUGGGCAUGACUGAAUUUGAUAUGAAAAAUUUGGUGAUGACAUUCCGACAUGGAGGAAGGAAGAUAGAGAUAAAGGGGGACCCUAGUGUCACCAAAACCCAAGUGAGCCUAAAGUCUAUAAUUAAGACAUGGGGAGCUGAUAAUCACGGUUAUUUGGUAGAAUGUCGGGCCAUGGAGGGAAGGCUAGCUGAGGAAGGCUUAGAGGAUGAAGAAGUGCCAGCCACUGUUGACAACAUGAUCUCUCCUCUGUUGAGCAAAUUUAAUGAUGUUUUUGAUUGGUUGGAAGAGCUGCCUUCGAAGAGGAACAUUGAGCACCAUAUACCCCUUCAGAAGGGGGUGGAUCCAGUUAAUGUCAGACCUUAUCGUUACGCACAUCGGCAAAAGGAGGAAAUUGAAAGACUAGUUGAUGAAAUGUUGAAGACAGGCAUCAUAUGACCGGGUACCAGUCUGUAUUCCAGCCCAGUCCUUCUCGUGAAAAAGAAAGAUGAUAGCUGGCAAUUUUGUGUAGAUUAUCGGGAGUUGAACAAUGUCACUAUCCCAGAUAAGUUCCCAAUUCCGGUCAUAGAUGAGUUAUUCAAUGAGCUGAAUGGGGCCAACAUGUUUUCGAAGAUUUAUUUAAAGGCGGGUUAUCACCAAAUCAGGAUGCAUCUGAGAGGUGUAGAGAAGACGGCCUUUCGAACACAAUGAGGGACACUAUGAGAUUCUUGGUCAUGCCCGUUUGAGCUAACCAAUGCCCCCUCUACGUUCCAAGCAUUAAUGAACCACAUCUUUAAGCCUUAUAUGAGAAAGAUUCGUAUUAGUGUUUUUCGAUGACAUUUUGGUGUACAACAGGGGAGUAGAAGAACAUGGACAGCAUCUGGAAGUAGUCUUGGAGAUCCUUCGAGAGAAUGAAUUGUAUGUGAAUUUAGCCAAAUGUUGCUUUGCCAAAAGUAGAAUAGGUUAUUUGGGGCAUUUCAUAUCCGAAAAGGGAGCUAAAGUUGAUCCAGAAAAAAUAAGGGCAAUUAGGGGAAUGGUCGAUUCCCACUAGUGUGCGAGAAGUUCGAGGUUUCUUAGGACUCAAUUGAUACUAUAGGAAGUUUGGGCAGAAUUAUGGCAGUAUCGAAAGCCCUUUGACACAGCUUUUGAAGACAGGAACUCAUUGUUGGACUGAAGAAGCAAGUGCUGCCUUUGAGAAGUUGAAGAUGGCAAUGAUGAUUCUACCGACGUUAGCUAUGCUGGACUUUAAUCUACCACUCGAGAUAGAAACAUAUGUAUCUUGUUUUGGUGUGGGGCCGUUUUAGUACAAGCCAAGAGACAAAUAUCCUUCUUUAGUAAAACCUUAUGCAUGUGGGAUAGAGCGCGACUGGUUUAUGAAAGAGAAUUGAUAAUAGUAGUGUUUGCGGUGCAAAGGUGGAGACCAUAUUUGUUAGGGAAGAAAUUUACAGUGAAAACUGAUCAGAAGUCGCUCAAAUUUCGGCUAGAACAAAGGGUGAUUCAACCCUAAUACCAAAAAUGGAUAGCCAAUCUUUUGGGAUAUUCAUUUGAGGUAGUCUGCAAUCCUGGAUUGGAGAAUAAGGCAGCCGAUGCUCUAUCUAGAACACCCCGUAUAGUGCACUUAAAUCAAAUAUCAGCCCCAACACUACUCGAUUUAGUGGUGAGUCAAGAAGAGGAAAAGAGGGAUCAAUACCUACAGGAAAUCCAGAAGAAAAUAGAAAGAACAAAAAGUGAAAGUUCCAAACUUUUCAGUACAGCAAGGGGUAUUGAAAUACAAAGGAAGGUUGGUGCUGUCAAAAACAUCCGUUCUACUACCCACUAUCAUGCAUACCUAUCAUGAUUUUGUCUUUGGAGGACAUUCAGGGUUCCUAAGAACGUACAAGAGGAUGACCGGAGAGAUUUACUAGGAAGGAAUGAAGAAAAACAUAAAGAAAUACUAUGAAGAAUGUCUUGUAUGCCAAAGGAAUAAAACACUUGCAUUAUUACCUGCUGGAUUGCUGCUGCGCACUUGAGAUUCCUAACACAGUGUGGUCGGAUAUUUCCAUGGAUUUUAUAGAUGGACUUCCAAAAUCAGCUGGAAAAGAAGUGAUUUUUGUGGUUGUAGAUUGUCUGAGUAAGUAUGCACAUUUUACAGCUAUAAAUCAUUCUUACAUGGCCAGCUUCGUAGCAGAAGUUUUUGUUAAAGAAGUGGUGAGAUUGCACGGUAGCAUGUAUCCGCAGUAAGUUGUAUCGGAUCAAGACAAAAUCUUUAUUAGUCAUUUCUGGAAGGAAAUGUUCAAGUUAGUGGGAACUAAAAUAAAUAGAAGGAAAUGUUCAGGUUAGUGGGAACUAUGCCCAUAUACACCAAGUUCGAAUAUAGAACUUGCUUCUUACUGAAAAAAUAAUGAUUAUGGGACUUGCUAUAAGGGUAUCCAAUACUCGAAGUAAAUGAAUGAUUACAAAAUGAUUGUUUCCUCAGUUUGAAGAAGAACAACAAAAAAGAAAAGAAGGAUAAAAAUAAAAAAAAAAACAAACUUUCUUUUUGAAAUUCUAAAAGAAUCCAAAAAGACUUCAAAAGGUGCAACCAAGAAAGGAGGUCAAAGAAGGGCUCUGAUAGACCCCCCUAUCAUACGUCAAUAUAGUCAAAAAAAAAAAGAGAGAGAUCACAAGGGAACACACAUGCGAAGAAGAAAAGAUUUAAAGGAUUGUUAGAAGAAAAGAUUUAAAAAGCUUGUUGGGCGUCGGUUAGAUUUGAGGAGAUUUAGGAGGGUCGUUAGGUGUUGAUUAGAAUAAAUAAGGAUAGGGAGGAAAGAGGAGGGUAUGCUGAGUUUAGAAGAAAAUUGACUCAUGCUCUUCCUUGAGCGAUAGGAUAGCAGAGAGGGAAUUAGAUUGUUUUUCGAAUUGAGUCCUCCUCAAUUUGAGUGUUCUGAUAUUUUGAUUUUCCUUGUAACUCAUUCUUUGAUUGAAGCAAUAAAAGUUCUAAUUGGAUUUCCAAAAGAGUUCUAUCAAAUUGGUAUCAGAGACAGUUUUUUCUGACCAAGAGGAAAAUGAUGGUCCAAACACGAAUGAAGGAGAGAAUGGAGGCGCACGACCAGGAGAUGCAUUUGAUGAGAAGCGAGAUAAGCAAAAUUUCGACAAUGAAAGAAAUAUUAGCCACGAUCAGCGUACAGACAAAGAAGACUCACAAAAUGUUGAUAAUGUUCAUGGAAUCGAUUACCAGAGAGCAUAUCGUUAUGAGUGAGAAAAUGGCCGAGUCGAGUGUGCGAGAGACAGUAUCAACAAUAACGAAUAAGAAGGAAGGCUCGAUCGAAAAGGACCAUGAGCACGAAACAAAGGAUGGAAAGAUAGAAGGAGAAGACGGAGCGAACGAGCAUAAUAAGUUCAAGAAGGUUGAGAUGCCAGUUUUCAACACGGAAGAUCCCAAUUUUUGACCCUUUCGAGCAGAUAGAUAUUUUCAGAUACACAAAUUGACUGAUGCUGAGAAGGUCCUGGUUGCGACCAUUAGUUUUGAAGGCCCGACGCUGAACUAGUAUAGGGCGCAAGAAGAACACGACAAGUUUACCAGUUGGUCGAACCUCAAGGAGAGAAUACUCAUCCGUUUUCAAUCAGCAAAAGAGGGGUCCAUAUGCGGACAAUUUUUUAGGAUCGGAUAACAGACGACAGUAGAAGAAUAUCGAAACCAGUUAUAUAAGCUGAUGGAACCGUUAUCCGAUCUACAAGACAGAGUGGUGGAGGAAACAUUCAUGAACGGUUUACUGCCGUGGAUUAAAGCAGAAGUGGAUUUUUGUCGUCCGGUCGACGUGGCUCAAAUGGUGCACGCGGCUCAACUCGUAGAAAAUCGAGAGAUAAUUCACAAUGAGGCCAACCUUAAGGGGUACGCCCAAGGAAAAUAUCCGCCUCAAGGUUCUAGGCAAAAUACGAGUGCUGCGACGGUGAACGAUAGCGACAAUAAGAGAAAUACAUUAUUUUCGAUGAGAACGAUUACUCUGAGAACGACAUCCAGAGAAGUUAAGAGAGGGGCAGGCAAAGCGAUUGUUAGACGCGGAGUUUCAAGUCAGGAAGGAAAAAGGACAUUGUUUCCGUUGUAAUGAGAUAUAUUAUCAUGAUCAUCGAUGCAAAAACAGAGGGCAAAGAGAGUUGAGAAUGUACGUGGUCAGGGCGAAUGAUGAAGAAUUUGAAAUCAUAGAAGAAGUGGGAGAAAAUGAAUUGUUUGGAAAUCACAUAAGAAGAUCAUGUUGUCAUCGAACUGUCAAUUAAUUCGGUGGUGGGGCUGAACAAUCCGAGGACAAUGAAGGUGAGGGGGAAUAUCAGUGAGCGAGAAGUUUUCAUUUUCAUUGAUUGUGGAGCAACGCACAACUUCAUCUCCGAAAAGAUAGUAAAGGAGUUACAACUGGCCACGAAGGCAACGUCGCACUAUGGUGUAAUCUUGGGCUCGGGGGAGGCGAUAAAAGGUAAAGGAGUAUGUGAGGACGUGGAAAUCAAGUUGAACGGGUGGAAGGUGGUGGAAAAUUUGUUACCCUUAGAAUUGAGAGGGGUAGAUGUUGUGUUAGGAAUGCAGUAGUUGUAUUCAUUGGGCAUGACGGAAGUAGAUUGGAGGAACCUCACAAUGACUUUUGUGCAACAAGGAGAAAAGGUAGUGAUAAGAGGAGACCCAAGUUUGACCAAAUCCAGAGUGAGUCUCAAGAACAUGAUCAAAAGGUGGAAGGAUUCGUGAUCGAGUGCCGAGCAAUGGAGAGAGUCUUUGAGCCACAGGAAGAUAACGGGAUUGAAGAAGUAUUAACUACUGAUGAAGCAGUAUCGGUCGUGUUGAAGAAUUUUGAAGAUGUUUCUAAUUGGCCGAAGACACUACCCCCGCAAAGAAAUAUUGAACAUCACAUUCAUUUGAAACAGGGCACUGAUCUGGUAAAUGUUCGACCCUAUAGAUACGCUUAUCAACAGAAAGCUGAGAUGGACAAACUUGUGGAUGAGAUGUUGACAGCUGGAAUUAUCCGUCCCAGCAACAGUCCAUAUCUAGUCCAGUUCUAUUGGUAAUGAAAAAAGAUGGCAGCUGGCGUUUUUGCGUAGACUACCAAGCGCUGAACAAUGUAACCAUUCCAGACAAAUUCCCUAUUCCGGUGGUUAAGGAGCUUUUCGAUGAAUUAAAUGAAGCAAACUGGUUUUCAAAGAUUGAUUUGAAGGUGGGGUACCAUCAGAUCAAAAUGUGUGGAGAAGACAUCGAAAAAGCAGCAUUCCGAACACAUGAUGGACACUAUGAAUUUAUGGUUAUGCCAUUCGGCUUAACUAAUGCCACAUCCACUUUCCAAGCUCUGAUGAACUCAACAUUCAAACCAUUUUUGCAGAAGUUCAUAUUAGUGUUUUUCGACGACAUACUAAUCUACAGUGAGAACUUGGAACACCAUUUGAAGCACAUUGGGUUAGCAUUGGAAAUCCUGAGAAAGAAUGAGUUAUAUGCAAACAAGAAGAAGUGCAGCUUCGCACAAGAACGUAUUGAUUAUUUGGGUCAUAUCAUUUCAAGACAAGGAGUUGAAGUGGACCUUGAGAAAAUCAGAGCAAUCACGGAAUGGCCUAUACCCAGUAAUAUAAGAGAGGUACGGGGAUUCCUAGGCCUCACCUGUAACUAAAGAAAGUUCGUUCAGCACUAUGGCUCCAUUGCCGCACCAUUGAUUCAACUACUUAGGAAAGGGGGAUUCCAGUGGACUGAGGAGUCUAAGGAGGCAUUCCAACAACUACAAAAUGCGAUGAUGACCCUGCCCGUUUUGGCGUUGAAAAAAUUUCAAUGCCACAUUUGAAAUGGAAACCGAUGCAUCGGGAUAUGGGGUAGGAGUCGUACUCGUCCAAGCCAAGCGUCCCAUAGCAUACUUUAGUCAUACGUUAGCCUCAAGAGAUAGAGCCAAGCCUGUACAUAAAAGGGAAUUAAUGGCAGUGGUCUUGCAUGUGCAACGAUGGCGACCAUAUCUGUUGGGGAGAAAAUUUAUUGUGAAGACCGAUCAGAAAUCCUUGAAGUUCUUGUUAGAACAAAGAGUGAUACAGCUUCAGUAUCAGAAAUGGGUAGCGAAGCUAACGGGAUACUCAUUUGAGGUGGUCUACAAACUCAGCUUGGAGAAUAAAGCAGUAGACGCCUUGUCUUGGAUGCCUCCUACAAUUAACCUCGGUAGCAUAACAGCUCCUACAUUGGUUGACAUUCUGGUGACUAAAAAGGAAGUCAAAGCGUAUGAAAAAUUAAGCAAAAUAAUGGAAGAACUACAAGCAAUGGAAGAAGUAACAGAGGGUAAAUUCUCCAUCCGACAAGGUAUGUUAAGAUAUAAGGAUAAGUUUGUGUUGUCCAAAACAUCUACAUUGAUACCCACAAUCCUACAUACUUACCAUGAUUUGGUACUUGUGAGGAAUGUGUAAUAUGUCAGAAGAACAAGUCCCUAGUGUAACGAGCAUACUUGUCCAAGGUGUGUUUACCUAUGGCCGUAUGCUCCGAUUAGCCCCAAUUUACCUUGUCUUUAUGUCUUGCACGUAGCUUAGGUAGUUGCUUUCAAUUUCAAGUCGAUAUGCUUGGGUGUGACGUUUCGGCAUUUUCAUAUGUUAAAAAUGUACUAUAGGGGAGGCAUACCUGUUGAAUCCCUGCCCAAGCCUUGUCGUACUCUUUGCAGUCUAUGCUUUCUUAUUGCAAUUGACAGUCUUCAAUGCUUGUUUUAACAACGUUUUCAAUCAAUUUAAUCAUCUUUCAUGUUUUCUAAAACUAUUUUUCCAAGAACGUGAGGGGAGGUUGAAGUAUGUGUUAAAGUUGUCUGCGAUUUGCAGAUUUUGAUCGGCUGACUUGUUCGCCGAGCUAGAACAAGUGCCGCACAAUCGUUCACAUCGUGUUUGAAGGGUUACACAGUAAAGGAAGAGUAAGAAUUUGAGUGGAGAAACUCCAAUUGGGAUCAACACGUGGGCAACAACAUGGCUUCUCACCAACAUGAGAACUCAAAAGAGACAGCAGAUAUUCUAGAGAAGCCAAUGAACUCUUGGGAUGUGAAUCUGCACUUUCCUGCAAUAGUUUGAGUGUGAAUUAGUUCUCUGAAAACACCUGCAGAGGAUAAUCCACGGCAAAACAGAAUAACUAUAAAAAAACCACUUGCAAGUAGAAGAAAAAGGAAGUACAUUUAUACCUUCCCUGUCAAAGUGAUAUCCCUCAUCAACGGAUAUGCAUUUCUUUCCAGGAAGUAGCCAACAAUUUUACAAACCCAUGGGAGUUUAGGUUGUAAUAAGAAAACAAUUGUGUCCAACAAUAGAGUUGCAGGUGUGUUAGAGUUCACAGGUGCAGCCAAAAGUUGAUUCCUCAAUUGGUUUCUAUCAAGAACAACAUCAAGUAAGAAUAAUUCGGAGGAAAAAUAAAGGCAACUUAUCAUAUAUAUAAAUAUGAUUAGUCUGAAUUCGUUUGCGGAAGGUAAAAAAACCUUUAUGUCAAUUAUAUAUAUCUGAACAAAAUCUAAGAAAUAUAUCACUUUUCAACAAAAGAAAUAUAUCAUAUACAAUUAAAGGAUCAUAGCAUAGAAAGCCAACAAAAUCAACAAUGAUAGAUCAAACAUCUGUUUUUCCAUUCAAAACGUUAAAAAGGAUAAGUUUUUAAUAAGGAAUGUUGAAAUGGAAAAAACUAAUUACCUAUUAUGGUGUACAAUCUGGAUGCAAGCAUAUGCAAAUUUCUUAACUCUGUAAUCCACUAAGGCCUUGUUAAGUACAUAAUCCUUGCUAGCGAAAAUGCUCAACAUAUCCCCUAUAUAUGUAAGAGAGAGAAAGGUUAGAAAGUACUAACACUAAGAGAUAUGUGCUAUCAAUUAGAAACACUUUAAGAUGACAUUAUCAAUUAGAAAACCAAGUAUUAAGCAACAUAAGGGAAAAUAACAAACAAGGGCACCACAGUGGUUCAGAAACCAAUCAAUAUUUCCAUUUGUCACUUUUAUAAUAAUUUCCCAAGGGAAAAUCCUCAUAAUAAGCUUGAGUACCACCUAAUAACGUGUUCAAAUGUUACCAUAAGCAAAAAUGAGUGAUCCUAAAAUUCAUAUGACAAGGAAAGUCGUCAACUAGCAACCGCCAAAUAACAGUUAUAUGGCUAGAAUUAGUUUUCUCCAACUUCAAGAAAAUAAAACAUAUUAAAACAAAAGGAAUUAUGGUGCAAAAUAAUGAAUAUGCCUGCAAAGGUAAGAAGUUUCUGAAGGUAAAAAUGGUCAAUAAAAAACAACAUAUAAUUUGACGUAAAUCAAAGUAGAAUUAUUUCUCGCAAUGAAUUCUCUGCCAAUAAUGGCUAAGAGAAGGGGUAUUUAUUGAGAAUUAGUUGGCCAGGCAGAAAUCAUCUAGGGCAUAGUAUUGUUUUAGGUCUGCGACAUUAAAAACAUAAUGAAUGUGUAAGUCUGGUGGUAGUUCUAUUUUGUAAGCAUUAUCUCCGAUCCUCUUUAGGACACGGAAUGGUCCUAAUUGUCUGUCUUUUAGUUUGUUGUAUGUUUCGGUUGGAAAUCGAUUUUUUCUUAGGUGAAUCAUUACUAAAUCUCCCUUGGUAAAGGUAGUUUGUCUUCUUUUUCUGUCUGUUGCGUCUUUGUAGGACUGAGUUGUUUCUUUUAGGUGAUUGUGGACUUCUUCGUGUAAAUUCUGGAUUUUUUCUAUCAUCUUUUCUGCCUCUGAUAGUUAGGGAACUCAACACAUUUUACUUGACCUAACCAAGAUGGCUCUUUGUAUGUAUAUUGCAUGUGUUGUUUGUUUUUUCUAUAGCUCUUGAUUGUCUCACUUUUUUACGUUUUGCAUUUGCAAUUCUCUUUUCUUUCUUUGGUAUGCAAUGUGGUAACAAGGUCUUGCUAGAGCCGGUGGGCUAACCUUUCUAUGGUUCUAAACUUAGUUUCUAAGUUUGAUUGCUCCCUUCGGAGUGACAACAAGCCUCGUUUUCCCCUACUAUGGAAUGGGGAGGAUUCAUUUUCUUUUCAAAGCCCUCGUCAAACUCAAUGCUAAGUUUGACUGCUCCCUUCAAAGUGACAACAAGCCUUGUUUUCCCCUAAUGUGGAUCGGGGAGGAUUCCUUCUCUUUUCAAAGCCCUCAUCAAACUCGAUGUUGUGUUUAGAACGCUAAGAGUAGGUGGUCUGGUUUUGGUUAGGCCAAAAGUGAAGUUUUCCCCCAUUUUUUAUGGGCUUUUUCUAAUGUAUAUUGGAUAUGUUGUUUGAUUUUUUUUAUAGCUCUUGAUUGUCUUACUGUUUUAUGUUUUGCAUUGUCAAGUCUCUGUUUUCUUUCUUUGGUAUGCAAUGUGGUAACUAGGUCUUGCUAGAACCGGUAGGCUAACCUUUCUAUGGUUCUACAUUUAGUUCCUAAUUAAGUUUGAUUGCUCCCUUCGGAGUGACAAUAAGUUUUGUUAAUGUCGACCCUUUUCUAAAGGGAUUUAGUUCACUGUGGCUAGGCAAGAGGUUUCUAACUCAUGUUUGACAAGACAAAUUUGUUAAAACCAUCUUAGUUUUUAAAGAGUGCCUCCUAUCCCUUUUUUACUCUAUCUAGGCUAGGUUUGGACUAAGUGCAUCAUAGGUUAGUCACGACAAAGCAACAAAGGAAGACAAAGCUAGAAAAGUAUUCAUGCACUUAUUUAUUAUACAUGCAAUCAAGCAUUCACAACAUACAUACCAUUUUCUCAAUCAUGCAUUCACACCUCAAUAAGAAAUAGCUAAAAGGAGCUUAAAACAAAAAAGACAGCCGCUUAUUCUCAAAUUUCAGCACAUAUACUCAUCAAAAUUUAGAAUUUCACAUUGCAAACCCGAGCUCAGUGCUCAAGGGUUGCCAAUCAUGCUUUUUAUGCAAGAUCUAAUUAAGCUAAGAAGGUAUAAUGCUCAUUUUGUAUGGAAAGAAUUCUGAAAUUUUUUAAAAUUUGGGCAAAAUUUGAACCCCGAAGUUUAGACUAAACAUGCAAGCUAAGCAAGCUAUUACCCACACCCACUCAAAAAAUUGCUUUGUAUGUCCUAAAAGCUUUUGAAAAUCAAAGUAAAUGGAGAAAAAUAAGGGGGGAACUUUGGACUCCCCUAGAAGGAUCGACAUCCUUGACUUUGGUUUGAAGCUUGCAUGGAUAAACCUUUUCAUUCCUUUUUAAUUGAUUAUUCAUCGUUGUUCCUGAAAAUCAAAGGAAAUUCUCUCAAUUUUAUAUAUUACUAAAAUUAGGAUACAUAUAAGUCUUAACUAGUCUAAUAGCACCCUCCAUUCAUCUUCCCCUACACUGGCUAUGGUAUCAAAAUUUUCAAUUAAGUAAUACGUCUACUAACAAACUUGAAAACAAAAGACAUCACACUAAAAAACACAAACAUCACUUUAACCCAACAGAAGCUGCUCUUUUUACCCUUGCACUCACUAUCACAUUACUAUCAUGUUUGUCAACUGUCAAACUAACUCUUUUAAGUUAUUUAGUGUGACUACAAAGUUAUUAACACCAUAAUCUUAAUUAAAACCUUUUAAUAAACAAAUGCCAAGUUACUACUCAACAAUGGCAAGGAAUUCAAAAAACAUGACUGUAACGACCCAACUUUUCUAAGUAAGUCGAUGUCAUUAAUUUCAAAUAAGGACCUGAGUUUACACAAAAUCUCAAUCUCAAACAAUUUCAAAGUCUCAAGAAAAACAAAAAUUUAUAUCUGGGCCCUGUUUAAAAUAACCAGCACCUUCAAGACAAAUUUACUAAUUCGUGAAUACAGUUCAACUAUAAAAUUUUCUAAACAAUCUCAAGUACUAAACAAAACACGUGAAACAAAACAUUUAGUGGAAGCAAUUUAAAAUAACCCCUAUGGCAAUCACGCUUCCUUUCUGCCCCUCGCCGGUUUGGCGUCUUUAUUACCUUUGCCUGAAAAUUAAACAUAAGGAGGGUGAGUAUAAAAAUACUCAGUAAGAGACCCUCUACUGGUCCCGUCAGGGGAAAAUAAAUUGUUAACAUUCUAUUGGGACACCCUCUACAGUCACAGUCUUGUGAUCCCGUAGGAUGCACAUUUCAGUCUAACACCCCGAAGGACGUACAUUUUAGUCUAGUGUUCUGCAGAAACACAUAUCAGUCUAAUGCUCCUGAAGGUGCAAAAUAAUUGGUGAUCCGUGGGACACCUACAAGGCACACAUCCCAAUAAAAGCUAACAAUUUUUCCCCUCAGUCCAUUCUAAACAUCUUAACAGUCAUUCACAGAUCAGUUAAACAUUCUCAUCACGUAAACUCCUUAUUUAACCUCAAACAGUCGUCUUACUCUAAUUUAGUCCAAGGUCAAUAAAAAAACAUAUCAUUACAUCAGUUAACAAACUAAACAAUCAUAACCUCCUCCUCAGUCACCAAGGGCACCACCAUGACGUUUCUUCCGUUCACAAGCACACAACAUAACAGUAGAUUAUACACUCAGUCUAGACAACAAUCAAUCUACUAAUCAAAUCCACACUUUAUAUAAGCAACAUCUACGAGAUUCAGUCUUUUCCACAUCCUUAUCUUUGUACACAUACAUAACCAGACAGUCACAACAUAUACUCAACCACAGUCUACAUCAAUCCAUGCACAUAUAUGUAUUAAUUUCUCACAGUCAAACAUAGCAAACAUUAAACUUUAAGUCAAUGCCCAAACAUACAUCAUAACAGUCAUCUCUACUCAGUUCAAAUAUAAUAAUACGGUCCAUACAGUCAAUACAUCUUAAUAAGUCAUUAUAUCUUAAUUUUGUUGUUGAGUCUAGUAGAAAAUCUCUUACUUUCAAGUUAGUUAAGCUCCUUAACCACGUUGAAGUCUACGAAGAACGAACCUAAACAUUAAGACAAUUUCUCAAUAAUUCUCUUCAAGGCAUCAAUCAUUUAAAUUCAACCCAAUGUGAUUUAUUUUUUACAACUUACCCAAAUCUUCACGAAACGAGUUCCAAUUAGAAUCAAUUGUUUGCUGUGAACCCAAGGAAUUCGAGCGUUACCUUCAACCUAUAAUCGAACAAGUAAACGAUUUAUCCAACCAAUUAAUCCAGCAAUAUUACUUGAGUUUAUUUUGGAAACAGUUACAAAUUUCAUAACUUCAAUCUUACCAAUCAAAAUUUAAUGACUCGUGGCAAAGCAGGAACGACAGCGAACAACCCAAUCGAAUGGCGUGGGUUUGCUACCUGCGGCAGAACGAAGAAGGAACUCGACGCGCAGAAAGUUGGAUCUGGGGUCUUUAGUUCGGUUCACGGUAGCGAAUGAAAACCUGAUUGCGCAGACGUCAAAGGUGUUAUUCGCGGAAGAAGUCGAGCAGCAGCUUUGUGAAGAGACGACGUGCGAGGAGAGACUGUAUACAGACGGACGGAGAGUCGCGCGACAGUGCAGAAAACGGAGGAGAAAGGAAUGGGCGGCGGCUGGGCUUGGCUUCGACGGAGACAGAGGCGAUUAGGACGGGGCACGGCGACGCAGAUCUGGACGACGGCGCGGAGACAGAGGUUGCGCGGCGCUGGGCAGAGGGUCACACGGCGCUGGGCGAAGGGUCACACGGCGCUGGGCGGAAGGUCACACGGCGGCCUUGCUUCGCGAACAGAGAUGGCGGUCGACGGUUGCAGCGGCGGCUGGGUAUGGUAGAAAAGAAAGAGAAACGGAAGAAGAAUAGGGGCGGCGACCGUGGAUUGGAGAAGAAAAGAAGGAGGAAAGCGAUGGUGGUCGGUUGGAGGGUGCGGCUGGAGGUAGGGAUCGGUGAAGGAGAAAAUAGAAAAAGAAAAUGAAGGGGAAAGGGGGGUUGGGCGCGAGAGGAAGAAGAAAGGAAAAAAAAUUCUGUUUUUUUUUUUUCUUUUAUUUAAAUUAAAUAAUAAAACUAAAAUAUAAAUAAAUAUAUAUAUAAUUAUAUUAUCACAUUUUCAAAUCUUCUUUCUCCCCCUUCAACAUAUUUUCUUCAAAAAAAUAAAUCUUGUACAAAUCGAAUAAUUUUCUUAAAAUAAAUUACCUUCGAGUUUGGGGCGUUACAAUGACAGCUAUAUUGUAACUUGGCACUUGGGGACUUUAAUGGUGUCAAUAUUGUAACUUCUGGUGCCAUGACAAAUAUUGGUGACUGUCAAGAUAAGUUCGCAUAGCCACCGAAAGAUACAUCGUUGCUUUUGAAAAAUGGCAAGACUCUAAAUGAUAUAUGCAACAUUAUUUUGGUUAUAUCCAAUCUUUUUUUAAGGCUAUGUACUUGAAGAUUUUAAUCAAUAAAUAAAAUGAAGUUUAAUUUUUAAAAUAAUAACAUUACAAUGGGAUGGCGAUUGGAAUUGAUUACUUUGGUUAAAAUUUAAGAUUAGAUUAAAAAAAUCAAUUAAUAGAUAAUUCCAUCUAAUCAAAAUAACUAAAUAAAAGACGAGAUUUGAAAAUAUAAUAUCCUAAUAUACACUAAUAGACUUAUAUUAAUAGAUAAUUUCCUGCCGAUGAAAAAUUACUAAAGUUGUACUAUAUUUUAUAAAUAUUUUAAAACAUUACAUAAACACUAAUUAAAGUUGGGUUUAGUAGCAAAAGGUUACAAAUUUAUUGACACCUUCUUUUAGGAAAAAAAAAUACCUUGACAUGAGGUAAACUAAAUUUGUAAUCAGCGUUGAAAUCUUUACUAUAUUAAAUGGGCUCGUGGAGAAAAAAUUAUAUACAUCUAUUUUAUUCUUAAAUUGUCGAAAAAAAAUUAUAUUACCUUUUGUGAUCUAACGUAGUUGUGAUUUUUAUAGUGUAAGUGUCCAUUUUAAUGUUUGGAAAGAUGAUUUUUCCAAUUUUUUAGUUUACAAAAUAAAGUUCUAUAUUUUAAAAAAUAAAACCUUAUGUUGAAUAUGUGUAACUAAUGUUGAUAGGAUGUGAUUGGUUGAUCUUCAAGAUACGAUGCAUUCUGUUUAGAGUGGAGAUGGUUGCACACACAUCAAAUUUGCGUUGAUUCCUCCAAAUUUACAUGUGAAAUGUAAAUGUAAAAGAAAAACAAAAUAAACUCUUGCAGUUACACAUUAAAAAAAAAAAACGUCACGAAAUUCCAAAGUUCAAAAGAAAACAAACACACACAGGGAUUUAAUUGAUUCAAAGUAGUAACGAAUGGUGAAAAAAUGCAUCAUUUCUUGUGAUUUCACAUUAACAUGUUAGAAUAAAAAAUUAUCGUAUUCUAUAUAUUACAAUAUUGGAUCAAAUAUUAAUACAUUAAUUUAAUUAUUUAAUUACUACAACAAUGAAUUUCUUUUUCUUUUUUAAAUAAUAAUUUUACCAUUAAUAUUAUAUAAUAUUUGUUUAUUAUAUGCUAAAGCAUAUUUAAAAAUUAAAUAGAAUUAAGAGAUUUCACGUGAAUUUAUGCACAUGUUUCAACUGAAAAGAUGGAAACAAUAGUCACAAAUUAUUUUUUCCUAAAACAAAACAUUCAUAACCAAAUCUAAAUAUGCACUUUCAUAACUAAGGACCAAAACUCAUAUUACGUAGAAUUGAGCAUGGUUUAAAUGAAAUUAUUAACAAAAUACUUACACUUUACACCAGGUUUUUUGGCAACAUACCACUAGUAGAAAAGUGGUAUACGAUGACAGUUAUUUACUGUCGUAAACGAAAUUCGCGACAGUUAUUUUCAGUAAUAGAAGCGGGAGUCAUGGAAAGUCCUUCGAUGAUAGUUUUUAAAAACUGUCGCAAUAAGUUAUUUUAUGACAUGAAAUAAAUGUCGUUAAUCAGAAUUCAAUGACGUCAAAUAACUGUCAUAUUUUAUUUUAUGACAACAAAUAACUAUCAUCAUUUGUGGAUUAACGACGGUUAAAUAAAUGUCGCAAAUUCAUUUAUUGUGACAUUUUUUAAUUGUCAUGAAUAUGUUAAUCGCGACAGUUUUUUUAUAUAAAAAUGUCAUUGUUUUGCUAUUGACGACAUUUUUUUCCUGUCACAUCUAGGGCAAUCGUGACAAUUUAUUUUAUUAAACAACUAUCAUCGUUUUCGGAUUGACAACAAUUAAUAACUGUCACAAAUUCAUUUAUUACGUCAUUUAUUUUCUGUUGCAAAUUUCUCAAUUUACUACAGUUUUUUCCUG
rnacentral:lncRNA from 1 species